rnacentral:lncRNA from 1 species
UUAUUGAAAACAUAGAAACUCAUCACCAUGACAUUAUUUUAGCAUUUUACAGCCAAAAUACCACAGGAUCCUGACGGACGCAUGCUUUUGAUACUUUACUAGGCACCUUGUAGUAUCGAACCCGACGAUGUCGAACCCUUAAGUCACCCAUCUUGUCGUACUUGAGGGAGAAGGUCAUCAAACGAUACAUGUAGCGCCUGCGUUGGGGCACACAUGUGCCUUCUGGCUUCUCAAGCAGCACCUGAUCAUCUUUGUCUUCCUUGACCUCCUGACAAGCUUUGUCUUCCUCAACCAAGACACACUCCACAAGGCAGAAUUUGCGCUGGUAUCCCAAGUAGACGAGGCUAGCGCUUACAUGCUUAUCAGCUGGGUUCUUGCUGAACACCUUCUCCUUGCUGCGCUUCCAAGCAGGGGGGCGAUUGCUGGUGUUGGGCACGUCGCAGGCGUAGAUGUACCCAAAGGCCCCCUUGUCCUUGGAGAGCCCAACCAAGGCGCUCAGUUCAGAUUCAUAGUGUCCACGGCCAGUGAAGGGCAAAAUCCACUCACCGAGAUAAUUCCACGCACAGACUCCCUUUUCGAAGCUGGUGCCCGUUUCGAAGCUGAAUGUGGCCGCAGCUAAAUCUUCACUCUUGAUGCUGAAGAGGAUGGAAUGUCCAUGGCUGUGGGGGUGCAUGGCAUAGGAGGUGACGUCCAUCCUAGAGAAUGGCGGCAAUGGUAGCUGGUGCCAAAACCAGCGGCCCUUGCUAUCAAUAUCAGAUCUAAAAUCAUAUUCUUCCAGCGGUGAGUCAUCACCAUCAGAUUCAACAUCAGAUUGUUCCAGCGGAAGACGGCAGAGCUCCAAGCAGCCGGAGUCCAGAACGUAUAGCCUAUCGUCACCGACGGGGAAGUGGAUGGGGAAAGCCGGAGCAUUAAACUCAGGACCUGAGAAGACGCACCGCGUGCGGACGUCAAUGAUCGCGCCCCCCCCCCCAUGAUCUUGGUGCCAAAGGCGGACGUGAAGUGGUGGGGAUCCUCACGCGGCUUCACCACGCGCCAGAAAAGAGUCGGUAAGCCCUGCACAGCGCCUUCGCCUGAGUCGGCCGGCAACGAGAACUUGCGGAUGCUGUAUCCAGAGUCCCAGUCAUCACAGACAAGGUAAAGGCGCGGCUGCCGAGGCUUCGCCGUACUGCCGCCAUCACGUUCACCGCACGGCCGCUUUGGCAUCCUCAUUCCUUGCUCGCCGCCUUCUUGUUCUCGCCGCUUUGGCCGGAUUAUUACUCGUGGAUCUGAUCCCUGCUAUUUGAAUUUGAAGAAGCAUCGAUUUUAAAAUAGAAACCAAUCAGUCCCAAUCCUCCUACCGCAACUCAAUUCACAAAUCCAGGGCAACGGAGAAUAAAAGAGGAUUACGCACCUAUACAAUCGAAGAUGGUGCAGCGGCGGUUACGCACCUAUACGAUCCAUGCAUUAUAAAGGUAUAGGAAACCCUAGGAAGUUUCCGGUGGCCGCUGGAGCUGGAACUCAUGGGCCGUUAGCAAAUUGGCUCCGGUUAGGCCCACGGAAGCCCAGUGUACUGGAUCGAGUGUUGCACGACCCAUCAGCCAUCGGUGCAUCACCUGACGCGACACUCUCAAAAAAAAAAAAAAAAAAACUGAUGCAACAAAAACCUGUCGAGAGCAAAACAAUCGGCACUUUUUGGCCUGAUAGGUUGGCCGCACCGAGCCCCAGCCAGCUCACCGGAUGCAGCAUGCAGCUGACCAGAGCAUUCUAGCACAAAGGAGAUGAAAAUAUAGGAAUCACUGUGCUCCAAGCUAAGAAAUACCACAGAUAUCACAUGAGAAAGAAGAAAAUAGUCCCUAGAGCAGUCCUAUACACCAGAGAAAAUGCAGUGCUAAACAAAUACUCUUAUCCCAAAUUCCAAUACCAGUCAUCUCAAGUUACAGAAUCUAUGUAGAACAAUAGAUACGGUUAGUAUGAAAAACGUGAACCUGCUCAUCUCGGACGCCUCGCGCAAGGACGUGGAAAGCCCACCAACGCCAUCUCCGGCAUAGCAAAACUACAGCCACAACAAACGGUAGAUAAUUAGGCGCAGGCAAAGCAUAUCUCUAAACGUAGUCUGGAUGCAGGAAGGCUCUAAAGCAAGCCGUGAUGCCACUGUCUUGAAUAAAAGGAAGCAAUAUUGAUUGUAGUUUUGUAUAUUCCUUAUCUCUCUGCCUAGAUUCAUUUACAUGGCCACAUGGAACAAAUAUUACUACCUGCAGGCGCGCAGAUCAACCGACAUAGAGAACUGACUUUCGAUGCGCCCCCUUUAAUCCCGGUUUAAAGUAGACCUGGUACAAUAGGGGGUGCGCGGAGCUUUACUCCCGGUUGGUAUUUGCAACCAGAACUAAAAGUCACCUUUUGUACCGGUUCAAAAAUCAGCCACCUGUGGGGGACCCUUUAGUCCCGAGUGAAAACAUCAGCUACCCGUGAGGGACCCUUUUGUCCCGGGUGGCAAGAAUAACCGGGACUAAAUGUCACCCUUUUAAUCCCGGUUGGUGUUACAACCUGUGACUAAAGCUCACGACACAAACCGGGAUAAAAUAGGAUCUUUUAUCCUAGUUGGAAACUCUAAUUGAGAUAAAAGAGUCCCUCAUGGGUGGUUGAAAAAGAACUAAAGACCUCAGACCCUUUUUAUUUAUCCAGGUUGGUAAUACCAACCGGGAUAAAAAGGAGUCUUUUUUCCUAGUUGGUGUUUCCAACCGGGAUAAAAAGGGUCCCCCACGUGUGGCUGUAGAAGGACUAAAUCCCUCGGACCCUUUUUAUCCCGGUUGGAAACACAAAUCGGGAUAAAAGAAUCCCCCACAAGUUAGUAUAAAAGGAUUAGAUCCCCUAUAUAGUCAGAUGUGGUGUGUAGGUGGGAUGGCAAGGAAGCUACGCGUGAGGCUUAAGGUCGUGGGUUCAAAUCCCAGGAACCGCGCACGCGCAUAUUUCGCGUGAAAAUCGCAUGACUUGUGACUUGUGACCCUCUUGAAAAGUGAAAGGAUCUCUCUGACAAUGGUUAGAUCCCAGGCAACCGGCGAGAAGAAGGCGAUCACGUCGUCAGCAUAAAGGGAAGCACGGAAUCUGAUGUUAUCAUGACAAGAGGCUUCAAGGGGCCCAAAGAGUCAGCCCUACUGAUCAUCGCAUGGAAGCACUCCAUAACAAGCAUGAAAAACAUCCAAGAGAGCGGAGCCCCUUGCCUCAAACCACGUCCAUGACAGAUUCUCCUCCCCGGCAUUCCAUUAAGAAGGAUUUUAGUGCUGGCUGUGGCCAAGAUCGUCGAAAUCCAGUUAGUCCAGGUGCACGGGUAACCGACCGCCGAAAGGAGACCCAAGAGGAAGAUCCAGUUGACCAAGUCAAACACUUUCGUGAGGUCAACCUCAAAUAGUAUCCUUGGAAUCUUCCUUCUAGCUAGGGCUUUCGCCACCCCGAGGAUGUAUCUAAAGUUAUCAUGUAUUUGACGACCUCUAAUAAAAGCACUCUAGUUAGGAGAUAUUAGCUCGUGGAGAUGCGGAUCAAAGCGGUUAACGAGGGCCUUCGAGAAGAUCUUUCCAAAGCUAUGGAUCAGGCUGAUGGGUCUUUAAUCUCCAAGAGUGGCCGGGUCUAAUUUCUUCGGGAUCAGAGUUAGGAGAGCAUCAUUGAGGUGGUGGAAGCUCCGACAAUCCAUCGAGGAUAGCGCAUUAAACGCCUUGAUUACAUCUCCUCUAAUGAUAGUACAGCACAACUUGUAGAAGUGACUAGUAAACCCGUCUGGACCCAGUGCCUUAUCUACGGGAAGGUCCUUGAUGACGUCCCAAAUCUCAGCUUUCGAAAAAGGCUGAGCUAGGUGAGAGAGGUCCAGCUGCGGAAGCCCCAAAGCCUAGAAAUCGAGAGCACAACCUUUGUCAUGAACAGUCCCUAGAACCGCGUCAAAGUACUAAAAAGCCGCAGCCGCUUACUCUUCCUUAGUCAAGAUAAAUCCGUCGACCUCAAAGGUGGCAAUGAAGUUCUGACGAUGUCGAUGGUUAGCGUGAAGAUGGAAGAACUUCGUGUUAGCGUCACCUUCAUGAAGCCAUCUCAUGCUUGACCUUUGCCGCGUGAUGGUUCUUUCCAGUGCGGCGAAGCCAAGGAACCUGAUCUUGAGGAAGUGUCAAAGAGAUUGCUCGGUCUGCAAGAGCGACCUACGAUCCUAAGCCGCCUCGAGUUGGAAUAUGACCUCCUUGGCAACUUGAAUCUGUGUGCGGAUGCUACCAACUGUCUUAGCGUUCCACUUUUUAAGCCCCUUGGCCAUUUUGCAUAGGAGAUGAUGAAGCGUUCGAAGCGAGUCGGCGUCCGAGCGUGGCCCUUUCCACACGUACUCGACCGUCUUCAAGAACCUAUCAAAGUGGGGUCAGUAGGCUUCAAAGCAGAAACGACAUUUUGUGGUGGAGGCUAUCCUGAAACUGUAGCAGCAGUGGGGCAUGGUCAGAGCACCUUGUGGAGAGAGCGUGCAACGGGCUUCCUGGGAAGAGGAGUUCCCAGUCAGUGGUUAUGAACAUCAUGUUGAUGCACUCUAAGGUUGGGUGAGUACGCUCGUUGCUCCAAGUGAAAAGACGGUCCUGAAGGUGGAGUUCCAAUAGUUCAAGAUCGUUAAGCAUCUGACCCUUGCCAAGGCAAAUGACUAGCCGUGGAAGCGACAUGGGUGUGAACAAGCGACCGUACAACCUGUGGAGAAGAGUCAGGGGAGGGUGAAGCUCCUGCCGAAGAUGGGGGGUGGAAGGGCGGUGCAGAGGCGGAGAGGCUUCCAUCGCGAACCCGCCACUAUGCCGGCGGGUGAAUCCCCUGCAGUCCCCAGUAAGGGAAGGCCCCUAGCCGCAGCCCGUCUGCGAUAGGGAGGACCGGUACCUCCUGGAGGGUGCUGCCGUGGACUCGAUGAUCUCCAGUGGCCACAUGCGCACCGCCCCUCCACGCAGAUCCGGAGGGACCAUUGGCAGGCGGUGGCCCGUUGCUGGUAGGGCUAGGAGCUGGAGCAGGGCGCCCGGGUGCGCUCGUCGACUCGCCAUUCCCACUCGCAGGGUUAGCAGGGUGUCCCGCAGUCUCGCAGAGGUCCGUGAUUUCAAUGAUGUUGCCUUGUACCAAAACAAGGUUGGGCCACAUGCGCAUCCUUCUAAAUUGGGGUGACCAUCACCUUCUCGACAGGAAGAAGGUCAAGGUGGGCACAACUCGUGAUGAUGAAGAACUCCUUGAGGUUGGCCUUUGAUUUAGUCUCUUGAGCUAGCGCAAUGACACAGUAGGAGGAUCCGAGGAUUACCUAUGCGGUACUGAGUACCAAAGUUGUGCUGACACGCCCACAAGGCCAAUGCAGAACCGGAAGUCCAUUGAAGCGUUGGUUGCCUAGUUUUCAUGUCGCCAUCGAUGGAAGGUUAAGCGAAACGACCCCUCCAGCACUGUUGCAUGGAGGACGCGAACCAUCGUGUUGGAGUCCCUGAAGAGAAUGAGGAAGUCCUUCGGGUGGUGGGGAUGGACAACGAAGGAUCCCAAGUCAACCCCAAAGUGACCAGACAGAUUGGCCUCAACGUCAGCCGUCGAAGAUGCUGGUCGGGUGCCCACGACCACAGCGACCAGUGCCCUUUCUAGGACAAUCUCAUUGCUAACGACCUCGGAAGAACGCGGGAUCACAUAGAGCUCCAGCCUUGGGCACCGAGAGGGGUGGCCAAUCGGAGGGGUGGGGGAGCGCCUCUCAAGCUCUUAGACGGAGGUGGAGCAGCGACCGGUGGUGGGGAAGGAGGGCCUGCGCGGAAAGACGCCGCCUUAGAUGCCACGAACCCGGAAUGGGGAGCUUGACGAGGCCGUACCGCACCCACCGGGGAACGCGGCUGUGGCGGCAGAGCCAGUGGUGGUGGCGGUGUUGGGGAAAGGGCCGCCUUCCCAGGAGCCCCCUGGAGGUGGAAGGUGGAGGGGAGGGCGCACGACCUGGGGAAGCAGUCAGGCGGCGGAGGACCUGUUGCACCAGGAAGGCAGCCGUCACAUCGUCGCGGGAUGAGGCGGAGCGAGGGAUGCCACGUAGAAGCGCCGGGGUGGGGGAGGGUGUUCGCUCCGGGAUAGGGACUCCAAAGCCAUGGAGGGUGUCGCUGAACGAGAAGGACGCGGAACGGCCCGCGUUCGACGAGGAUGAAGAAGAAGAUACGGAGGCCGUGAGCUCCUAGAUCUCGCGACUGGAGGGGAUUAACGGGUCUGCCUCACUAGAUUCGGGUUCCGGCAACCUUCGCAACACGCCAGAGGCGGGGGUGGCGGGGGGAACGGAGGGGUUGAGGUCCUCCUCCUCGAGCUCAACCAGCACCGACAUGGCGGGCGGAUCUUGUGGGGGUGCAGCGGGCGAGGGAGAGAAAGGGGAAGGUUGCGCAGCAGGGAGGGGAGGACGGAUCUGUGGCCAGCGGUGGCAGCGGGAGGCUGUGGACGCUGGGACUGGAGUGGUCACCGGCGGCGGCGGGGGGUGGAGCGGCGGGAUGAAGGCUCCCGAAUUGGACCUUGCUUCUCUCCAACCACAGGGAAAAGCCCUCCUCUCAUAUUCAAGAGGAGGCUUGGGUUGUAGAGUUUGACACGGACUCUACCUAUACUUCUAAAUACAACUUAAGUCUUAUCAUAACCGGAUUUGUACAAAUAUUUGACACAAUAUCUAACAUAAACAACUCACUUUCCAAUACCAAAUUAGUUGGUAUACAGUUGUACGUGCAAUUUCAACCUAGCAUCUGCUUAUGCACAUGAAAAUCUGCCCACGCGGCCUUGCCUGUUGCAGCCUGACACCAAAGUUAUAGCUUGACCCUUUUCCUUAAUCCUUAGUACGGUAGGGGACGACGCGGCCUUGCCUGGUGCAGCCUGACACCGCGCCACGGCGCCCGCCACGUUCGCCCAGCGGGUCCGCCACCUCGUGCUUGUGACCGCCAGUCGACUGCCCACGCUGCACAUGCCAUGCCAGCGGAUGUCGUGGACGUGCUUACACCAAAGCGGUGGUCGCAAAAGGCAGCGCAUCUGAGGCUUAGCCCACUCGUGGUCGUGGAUCUCUCCUUGCCUCUUCCGGGACACAGAGGAGGCAGGCGCGCAGGCAGCGGGUGGCAAGUCCGUUCGGUGGCAAGCCGAUCGAGGAUGCUAAUACUCAUCUCCAACACUUUCUUAGCCUUUGUGACACCAUCACAAUGCACGGAGUCACCGGAGAUGCCAUCAGGCUCUGCAUGUUAUUAAGAGAUGGCCCCGCCAUCUACUGAAAUACCCCAAUGAUUACAAAGAAAACAACUGUUGUCUUAAGCUCUCCUGUCCCUGAUGCAAGCCAAGAUAAGUUUGGAAUGUUCGGUACAAUAUCCUUGGUGUUCUGCUAAUUGUGCAAUCCUUUCGAGUCUAAAGCUAUUUCAACUGACUGUUUUCAUGGUCAACCACCUGCACUCGUUCUGAGAAAACAAAUUCAGAUUCAGAAUGAAACGCGUGUAAUGGUAGAUCAAACAAGAUGUUGGAACAUCACCUGGUAAAAGAAAUUGAUUAAAAUCAUAACAAGGUUGAGGCAUUUCUAUACUAGAGUCAAGCGCGUAUUGAAGCACCUCCCUGCAUACUUAAUAGGCUUGCUGUAUAAACUGUGGUUACCCUACAAAAAAUUGUAAAAACCGAUGCAUGGAUUCCAUAUUGUUGUCAAGGACUCUACACAUGAAAGCAGGAUUCACAUAAUCACAGUUGAUAUUACACAUUAAGCUAAAACAUAGAAAAGCAACACAUUAACACCCGAGUGAAAGGGGUUCGUAGAAUCACCAGUUACGAUUACACAUUAAUUUGAAACAUAGAAAAGAACACAUUAACACCUUAGUGAAAGCAUAGCAAGGGGUCCUCAUUAUAGAAGUUUGGGAGUACAGUAAAUUAAAUAAAACACAGAAAAGAAACAUUCACCUUAUUGAAAACAUAGAAACUCAUCACCAUGACAUUAUUUUAGCAUUUUACAGCCAAAAUACCACAGGAUCCUGACGGACGCAUGCUUUUGAUACUUUACUAGGCACCUUGUAGUAUCGAACCCGACGAUGUCGAACCCUUAAGUCACCCAUCUUGUCGUACUUGAGGGAGAAGGUCAUCAAACGAUACAUGUAGCGCCUGCGUUGGGGCACACAUGUGCCUUCUGGCUUCUCAAGCAGCACCUGAUCAUCUUUGUCUUCCUUGACCUCCUGACAAGCUUUGUCUUCCUCAACCAAGACACACUCCACAAGGCAGAAUUUGCGCUGGUAUCCCAAGUAGACGAGGCUAGCGCUUACAUGCUUAUCAGCUGGGUUCUUGCUGAACACCUUCUCCUUGCUGCGCUUCCAAGCAGGGGGACGAUUGCUGGUGUUGGGCACGUCGCAGGCGUAGAUGUACCCAAAGGCCCCCUUGACCUUGGAGAGCCCAACCAAGGCUCUCAGUUCAGAUUCAUAGUGUCCACGGCCCUUGAAGGGAAAAGUCCACUCACCGAGAAAAUUCCACGCACGGACUUCCGUUUCGAAGCUGAAUGUGGCCGCAGCUAAAUCUUCACUCUUGAUGCUGACGAGGAUGGAAUGUCCAUGGCUGUGGGGGUGCAUGGCAUAGGAGGUGACGUCAAUUAUAGCGAAUGGCGGCAUUGGUAGCUGGUGCCAAAACCAGUCGUCCUUGCUAUCAAUAUCAGAUCCAGAAUCAUAUUCAUCCAGCGACGAGUAGUCAUCACCAGCAGAUUCAACAUCAGAUUGUUCCGGCGGAAGACGGCAGAGCUCCAAGCAGCCGGAGUCCAGAACGUAUAGCCUAUCUUCACCGACGGGGAAGUAGAUGGGGCGAGCCGGAGAGUUCGACUCAGGGCCUGAGACGACGCACCGCGUGCGGACGUCAAUGAUCAUGUCCCCCCCCAUGAUCUUGGUGCCAAAGGCGGACGCGAAGUGGUGGGGAACCUGACGCCGCGCCACCACACGCCAGAAAAGAGUCGGUAAGCCCUGCACAGCGCCUUCGCCUGAGUCGGCCGGCAACGAGAACUUGCGGAUGCUGUAUCCAGAGUCCCAGUCAUCACAGACAAGGUAAAGGCGCCGCUUCCAAGGCUUCGCCGUACUGCCGCCAUCACGUUCACCGCAUCGCCGAUUUGGCAUCCUCGUUCCUUGCUCGCCGCCUUCUUGUUCUCGACUACCAGCGGGUGAACAAAGAGGAUUACGCACCUAUACGAUCAAAGAUGGUGCAGCGGCGGUUACGCACCUAUACGAUCCAUGGAUUAUAAAGGUAGGAAACACCGCGCAAGGUUGCACAAGCUGUCUGGGGAGGGGCAGGGCGCAAGGUUGAGUGGUUUUGGACACUUUGGGGCGGGUGGUUCGGACCGUCCAAUGAACUGCAAUUAAUAGGGAUGCGUCCAGACGUGGAGAUCAGAUUGAUAGCAGCUGGUGGCUGCUGUUUGAUAGGGGCGAUCAGACGUGAUGGUCAGGUUCGACGAUGCGGCUGGAAGACGUCAUGGAUGAGGACGGCGGCUUCAACUUGCGAUCAGAUUGACGGGUGGUCGAUCGUGAUCAAGGUGGUCGUUUCGGGCUCAAGUUGGAGCUGUAACGAUGGUGGCGGAAGCUACGGUAGACUCGGCGAGUUAUGGAGGUGGGUUGUUUCAAUAAGUGACUGGACGUCGCUGGCGGCGGCCGAAGGAGCAGCGACACGCAGCUAGGGCACGCAGGAGCGUGGACCCAGGGCACGGCCAGGAGUAUGAUCGGGUGCGGCAAGCGGACAGGCGCGCAGCUCGAGCAUUGAUCCAGGCUACGGGCGUGUUGCAGAUGGUGGCGUGCAGAUGGGAGGCCCCAUGCAAGUGCAUGUUUGUGUAUGGCCCGUGAAGGAGUUCAGUUUGGAUUUGUUCUUCACGUUUUUUUGGUGGGACCAAAAGGAACGUGCAUGUAUUGCUGGGUGUGGAUUCUGGGAUUGCAUGCGGUUUGGCUACCUUGGCAAGGCAAAGCCACGAGUCAAAGGUGGAGUACGACGACUGCAUAGAGUCGUCACCUGGUUGGACUCGGUAGGCUCGGUGGCAGGCAACAGUCUUUCCAUAGGAGGUCACGAUGCGAGACGAAAACAAGGAAACGAUAGAGCAGCGAGAGGAGUCCGAUUCUGUUGGGACUUGUGCUGUUCUAUUUUUGCCUAUUUUUGCCUCGGUUUAUAAUAACACUCUAGGAGUAUUUGGAUCUCCGGGCUAAAUUUUAGUCCCUGUCACAUCGAAUGUUUGAACACUAAUUAGGAGUAUUAAACAUAGGUUAAUUACAAAACCAAUUUCACAACCCCUAGGCUAAAUCACGAGACGAAUCUAUUAAGCCUAAUUAGUCCAUGAUUUGAUAAUAUGGUGCUACAGUAAACAUUCGCUAAUGAUGGAUUAAUUAGGCUUAAUAGAUUCGUCUCGCGAUUUAGCCUAGGGGUUCUGCAAUUAGUUUUGUAAUUAGCUCAUGUUUAGUCCUCCUAAUUAGCAUCUGAAUAUCCGAUGUGACACAGACUAAGCUUUAGCUCCAGGAUCCAAACACCCCAGAGUCUACGGGAGAUUGCAUCAAGGCAAUCUAAUCUUGCUGUUCGUGGAAACCGAAGCUUGCGGCGGUGGACAGGCGAACGGCAGGUGGCGCUCAGACGGGUCAGCAUCGUUGUGUGUGAUGGUGAGGAAGUCGAUGAGACUUGCGAGUGGCAUGGCUGUGCACAAACGGUGUACAGCGGCGGCAACAUGCGGGGAGCAACACGUGCAGAUAGCAUGAGGCGGCAGGGAUGUGUGUGUGCAGCGGCGUCCGAGUCAGGACGCAAGGAAGGAGUGCGCAGGCGGCGUGCUCCUCACACGACGUGUAGGAGGUACGUGAUCUGUGCGUACAGUACACGUGUGUGAUUGAUUUUUCGACGAUAUGUGGCAAUAGGCAGAUGGCGUCGAUGGCUUCCAAGUUUGAGGUGGUGAGGUUCAAUGGCACUGGAAACUUUGGGUUGUGGUAGAUGAGAGUGAAGGACCUGUUGGCUCAGCAGGGCAUCUCGAGGGCUCUCCACGAGAAGAAGCCGGCGAAGGUGGAGGAUGAUAAGUGGGAGGAGAUGCAGGUGCAAGCGUGUGCAACGAUAAGGUUGUGUCUCUCCGAUCAAAUCAUGUACCACGUCAUGGAUGAAAGCCCGCCUAAGAAGGUUUGGGACAAUUUGGCCGAGAAGUUUAUGUCCAAGAUUUUGACUCGGAAGUUGUACCUGAAGCACAAGUUGUAUGGGUUCAAGAUGCAGGAGGGGUCGGAUCUUGCUGAGCAUAUGAAUAUCUUCAAUCAAUUAAUUGUUGAUCUUGGGAAGGUUGACGUGAAUAUUGAUGAUGAAGACAUGGCAAUUGUUCUUCUGUGUUCGUAGUCGGGGUCUUAUGAUCACUUGCUUACUAUGCUGACAUAUGGCAAGGAGAAUGUGAAAGUGGAUGAUAUUGUUGCUGCUUUACUUUCUUAUGAGCUGAGGAGGAAGAAUAAUUCACCUGAAGAGUCUUCUGGAGUGCUUUUGUAGUUAGGAGUGAUAGUUAGGAGUGAUCGCAGUGGUGAAGAUAAGAAGGGUAAUAAUAAGAAGAAGGGGCCACAAUGCUAUAAGUGCAAGGAGUGGGGGAAUAAGAAGGCUGAGUGUCUGGAACUGAAGAAGGGUAGUGGAACCGCAAGUGUGAUGGUUGCCAGGCAGGAUGACUUGGAUAGCGAUGGUGAUGUUCUCACAGUGUCAAGUGAAAAGUCUUGUGAAGCAUAGUUGUUGGAUUCAGCUAGCUCGUUCCAUGCAACACCAAAGGAGUGGUUCUUGUCAUACAUUGAGGAGGAUGGUGGUCUUGCUCACUUGGGAAAUGUUUCGGCUUAUCGUAUCAUAGGAGUGGGUGAUAUCAAGUUCAAGAUGUGUGAUGGACAGGAGAUACUACUCAAAGGUGUGAAGCAUGUAUUGGGGCUACGAGAGGAGUCUGAUUUCGCUUGGGAUCUUGCAUGAAGAAGGAUGGUUGUAUCAAGCGGCGCCUGAUAAGAAGACCUUGAGAGUCAUGCAUGGAAGCAAGAUGGUCAUGGUUGGUGAGAAGUCAAAUGCACACCAAUAUAAGCUGAAGGGAAGCGUUGUUGAAGGUGGAGUCAUGGGUGGCAAUGCAACUAUGGCAGUGUUCUAUCCGGAUGUCGGCAAGGUGGCAACGGCCUCGUCGGGUUGUUCUAAGUGAGCAGCAAAGGAGACGACUCAAGUCUUGUAUACGGAGGUUCGCGCAUGGACAACUCAAGGUGGCGUGCAUAUUCACCAAGGUGGAGUUUGUUAGAUAUGUGUUGAAUAUGUGUAUGGUUUGGUUACAAUUGGACUUGAGUUGUAAUUUGGUAGGUUAGGGAUAGAGUCUUAGUCGUACUUUGUAUCCCUAAGCCCAUAAAUACAAGGGCACUACCGUUGUAACCGUGAGACGACUUGGCGGCUGGUGUGGGCGGCGGCGUGGCCACGGUGGUGCUUGGAUGCCAAUAUAGCUGUUGUUUAUGGGGAGGAACGCCCGUAGUCAUGCCUCGAGGAUGUAGGCACAUGGCCGAACCUCGUUAAAAAAUAUCGUGCCUCGGUGUCAUUCUCGUUUGUGUGAUCUUGGAAUUUGGUUUUGCGUUCUUAGGGUUAUCGCUUCCGCACUUUUAUUCUAACAUAAGGCAAACUAUUUGACCAAAUUUAUAGGAAGUGUAUUAACAGUUAUCACGUCAAAUAAGUAAAUUAUAAAAAUAUAUUUCAUAAUAGAUCUAAUUCUGCUCAAUUGACAUCCUAAAUAUUAUAUUAUUACCCUUUUUCUAUAACUUUGGUCAAACUAAAGUGCAUUUUUAUUUCAAUGAUGGAUGGAGUAAAUUACAGUAUAGAGUUACACCCAAUAUUUUCAAUGCUUAUAAGAUUUGAUGGAAACUAUGGAAUUUAAGCUGAUUAAUUCACUAGAUCUUGCCAUACAAUCCUUGUACUACUAAACUUAUUACAAGAAAUUUCUUUUCAUAUGAACUGCUAAUUUUUGUAUUACGUGUACAUGUCUAACUGCAACAAAAAAAAUGUUGGUUUAAUUUGUUCCUAGCUAGUAGUCGUGCCCUUCUCAGUUGUCUUUCGAUGCAAACUCCUCGACACAGCUUCCUGAACAAAGCCGAUUUAGAUCUGUACAGUGAUGAAGUGAUGGCCGAUCGUCUCCUCGUCGCCCCCGUUGAACAUUUUCAGAAACUCCAUCUCAUCGAAGCUGCCAGGCUUCUUGUAUUUCAGAAACCCGGUGAUGACGACGACAUUAUUGCAGGUUCUGCCUCGUCGCCGGCUCGCGGCGGCACUCUGCACGCGUGCAUAGAGAGCGAAUGCAUUAUACGUUGGAGUGCAUCAUGCAUGCCAGCCUAGACCCCAGAUAAGUGUCGGGUGGCUAGAGAAACCUACUGUUAAUGGCGUGGUGGCCGUGAUGCGGCAACUCCUUGCAGUGCACGACGUCGCUCCCGGUGAUCCCGGCUUGGCGAGCCCCGGAGCGUCGCUUCCUUGCCCCUUGCUUUCCCGUCGCCUUCAUCGGUGGCGGGGGCUGCGACAGCGAGACCCUGCACUCGAUGCCGCGGCGCGCGGUGAGCGAGCCGCCGUCCAGGCGCGGGCGCAGCGGCGGGGUCUGCGAGUCCGCGCUCCCGUCGCAGCACGCCGCGGCGCUCGCGAUGAUCUCCUCCUGCCUGUCGUGGAGCCAGCUGUCGUCAUGGCUAGGACUGGGCGGGCGGCGGCCGGGGCGGCGCCGCGCCGCGCCGGAGCGUGUCCUUGCAGUACGAGAUAGCGCGCGCCACGGACUCGGCCCUCUCGCGGGCCGUGUCGUCGUCGCCGCCGCUUGGCGACGGCAGCGACCCCUUGCCAGCGGCCCUGGCCUUCCUAAGCCGCCUCGAAAUCUUCCGCAGGUACCUACCCACCACGUCUUUCUUUACCAAAUGUUCCCCGUACACAAUCCUUUUCAUACUCCCUCCAUCCCAAAUUACUAUUUGUUUUCACUUUUUUAACUAUGUAUCUAGAAAAACCAAAACGAAUAGUAAUUUGGGACGGAGGGAGUACUUCGCAGCACCUCUAGUUUUACACAUGGUGACAUGGAUACAUACCAUGUGUAAAAGGAGUUGUGCCAAACGCCAGCGUUCUGCGGCCGUAAACGAAUAAUUUGCUUUUCAUCGUCAUCUCUCUAAUAAGCUGAUUCUUUCUUCUUCUUUUGAAAGGCCAAAAGGCUGAUUCUGGACAGAUGUAGGUUGCGCCAAAGGGGCCACAUAUCAUGGCAUCGACAAAACCCUAUUCAUCUCUCCUUCUAUACUUCACCACAGUUGGCGAGGGUGGUGGUUCACAGAUGUCUUUUCACUCUUAUUUCUUAUUAUAGCAACUCUAUGUCUAUAUGUAAAUUGAAUAAUUCCCAAGUAUUAAGGCAACUGCUUGUGCUUUAUCUGAAUUCCAGUUUCAGUCUUUCAGUGCAGUAUCUUCCUAGAUUGGCAUGACGCAUUUUCUCUUCGUCUGUGGGUCGCUUCAUUCAUGUCUCAUGAGAACACGUUUUGCUUUGGCCCGCCAGUCAAAUGGUAUGCUUGCUUUGGAUUCCUAUAAAGUAUAAACGAACGGGCCAGAAGCCUGGCUUCUGCAGCACCAUCGUAACAGAAUGUUCAGCACUGUUUUUGACUUCUUACCUCAACAUUAAGCCAAAUUUCCUUUCUUUACAUGGUGGUGAUAAGAGUACAGCCUACAAAAAUUAGGUUAGAACCCCUCAUCUAAAUUCAAACAGUACCACACAGAAGGUAAGAAAAGAACCGUUGCUGUACAUGGUAUCUACAAGGGAACAGUGUUCGCGACAUAGUUUGAUGAAGAGUUGUUGAACUUGGAUGAGAAAUAAUUCCUUAGUCCAUCAAAGAGCUGCCGGAUGUCGUCUACCAAGGACCAUGUCGGAGUGUUCAGGGCUCAUAUUGAGUUGAGGCACACUAGAAGGGUUCCUCCUUAAUGAAGAAGUACCUGAAAAUUGUAAUGAAGAUAGAAAUAUGAGCACAGGGGAGACAAAGGACUACACUUGCAAAUACCAUGACACUUUGCUGGGAAUGCAUAAUGGAAAUAUGUAUGAAGAACCCAUCCAAUAUAUGGGAACUAAAAUCCACUAUUCCUGUAGAAGUCUAAGGUGCCACUCCACUGUACUACCGACGGGUAUUUAUAACAUUGCAUUUAUUAAACCUACAAUUUAAUUAGGGCCCAGGUCACUUGAACAAUUGCCAAAUUUCCUAGCAAUGUAAACACAGAUGCACCUAGCCAUGACAAGAAACUUACCGUCAACCAAAGAGGAAGAAAUCCCAAGACAGAAGGAAGCGCAGCAAAAACAAUACAAGUUAAGGCCAGGGCCACACUUUGUUUGACCUGCAAGGAUAAACCUCAAAGUGUAAGAAUCAGUAAUAUUGCAUGUGAAGCUGAAGUGUCACACAUGCAAACAGUGAACAGUCUAUACCAGUGAAGCUGUUUGGCGGGCCUUAGCAAUGCAAAAAGGCACCCCACAAAUAUUAUCCUGCAACAACAGAACAUCUGCCACAGCCACUGCUGUUGCACUGGUACGUUGGGCUAGAACCAUUCCGACUGUUGCAGCUGCAAGAGCUGGUGCAUCAUUUAUACCAUCACCGACCAUUAUUAAACCUCCACCUGGGAAUCGAUACAAAGGUAAAUGAUGAAUGAACACAAGGAAAAUGUCCGUAAACAAAAGUUAUAUAACUUCGAGUUCAAGCUUCUAUGAUAUAUGGUUGAGCUCAUAAAUAGUAUAGGUUUCCAAUUUUAUAAUUUAAUGCAUAAAAGGAAUGUACCUCGCUCCCUUGAAACUGCUUUUACUUUAUUCAAUUUGUCCUCUGGCUUUAAAGAGGAAUGGACUUCAUCAAUACCAACAGCUUUAGCAACCCUCUGGGCACUUGAUUCAUGGUCUCCAGUGAGCAUCAUGAUGCGAAGUUUAGCCUUUUCUCUUAAGGUAUAUAUAACUUCACAAACACCAGGACGGGGUUCAUCCUCAAAGUGGAAAAGGGUUACCUUAAAAAAAUAAAACGAGCUGAUAUGAAUACAUGCACUUGACAUCAGUUCACUCCUCAUUGAGGGUACAUUGUACAUUCUCAAAAUCCAAAUGCUUGUUUGUCAGACAGGGAGUUACUACGAAACCUAAGGGCUAAGGCUCAUAAGGUGAUAACUUAUUCGAAUGAUCAAAUCUGUGUACUUUUUUGCAAGCAGAAGAAAUCAGCACUCUGGCAGAACCAUGAGUACAUGAUACAGUCACUGGUACAACCUUCUCUGGUGAGUGGUGACUGAACCUUUGGCCAAACAAGGUAAGGUUAUGUUUCUUUCAAUGAAAAAGCAAUCUAAGGUCACCUUCACUUGAAGAAGAGCAAGUUCAGAGGUUCUAAGUAGGACUCAAAGAAGGCUAUAAUGUCCAAACCAGCCAAAUCAUGCAUCAGAUUCAAAUUAUGAGGGCACCUGCUGAUCCAGUUUCAGAAUAGAGAGGCCCACAGGCUAUAUGCCCAUACUCCCAUAUCAGAUGGACCAAACACUAGCGUUGAAACCACCUGGGAUGUGUUUUGGUCAUUCUGACUGUGCAAUGGGAUGGGACCGUAGUGGUUCAUCACUUAGGUGGACUAGAGCAAAAUACAUGGCCAGAUACAUGAAACUUAAUUUACCUUUUUAUCAACGGAUAGAGCAGCUUGGACAAAUUCAGGCCCAUAUGCAGAAAUUUUUACUGCUUGUUUUAUUUGCUCCGAUUCACCAUUAGAUCUGUAUAGUGAAAUAUAGUCCACAGAACCAAUAGAUGCCUCGGACAGCUCAUUUUCGUUGUUUCUUGCCUGUAAUGCAAAUGUAUGAGGUGUUAAGCUAGCAUGUCAAAGGCUGACUCUUCCAGUUACUCCAUACCGACCAAACAGCAAAAAAAAAAAACAUUCAUGCUAAAUUGUUGACUUGUGAGUAGGUAGGAGAAUAUGAUAACCACUGAACAACACAAUUCCAUUGGAUGAAACACAUGCGACUUACAGCAUACAUUAAUGGCCAAUGGUGUUUCAAGUAACACACCUAAGUUGUAUCUAACACAGGUAAGUUCUUUGACACAUUGAAGAUUUCCAGAUGACUUUGCUGAUUGAAACGUAUUAUGAAAUUUACACAUACCUUUACACCACUCAAAGUAGCAGCAACUCCCCUACCAGGUAAGCAUUCAAAACUUUCUACAGCAACAGCUGGAAGCUCCUUUCCAACAGAGUGAUCUAAAACAGCCCUGUGAUCAUGCAAACUCUAUGUCAAUUGUUUGGUAUGGACUAGUCUACAAAUGUCAGUGCACAAAAGAAAAAAAAAAUGAACAGCAGAACCUAUAUUAUAUGCGCUGCAAGUCUCAAUGCAAUGCUUCAACUAGUGCAAAAAAAGACAAGGAAAUCUACACCAAGGUUGAGUGCAGUGUUUGAAAACACGCUAUUAAAUGUACACAUAGGUUCGCUUAAGCGUGAAUCGGAUCCCCAGCCCAUUAUACAAAAAAGAACAGUAGAAUCUAUAUUUUUCUGAAUCGGCACAGAUAAGCUCAUAGUGGCAUUCAUGCUAACUAGGACCCAUGCUAGUCUAGUGCAAGACUACAACUAAUGCCUCGUGUGAAAUAGAAAUUACAGCAAUCACAUGCACCGAAUGCGCCAACUAAUGCAACGUCCAAAUAAGCAACACAGAUCUGUGCCUGAGUUUAACCACAACACUGGUACAAUAUUUGCACUCGUGCAGGGAGUAGAUUCUAGCCACGCCUAGCAAGCCCAAGUAGUGGAGAGUUCUAGUUAUGAGAAUGCAUGCAAAUCAAAACAAAACAAUUAAACAGACUGACACCCAAAUGUCCAUGGAUAGGCUCGAUUGCUUUACAAGUAAGCUUCCCCGUUGUUAACGUGCCUGUCUUGUCAAAAGCAAUAGACUGACAAGCAGAAAGAGCAUCUAAGACAUGACCACCUUUCAACAAAAUUCCCUACAGGGGAACAAAAGAAAGGUUCAUCAAUCCACUAUACCAGGUGGAAACAGAGCAGCUCAUAGAAAGGUGUGUGUUCAGAAAGCAAAACAGCUGCUAUGGUGCUAUCUCCCAUAACAUCCAGGAGGAACUCCGCAGAUGCAGUAAUUGUACCAUUUGAACAAAGAUUUUUAUUAGGAUACUGUGAGCUGUACUCACUUGUGUACAAUAUGAAUCAAAUGUUUGAUGCUUUCAUGAAAUUCAUAAACCAAGAAUGUUUGUAUCAUCAAAUGAAGAGAUCGAACAACUGAAACUUUCAAACAGUACCUUACUAGCAAGAGAACUGAUUGCAGUUGCAUAUGCCAAUGGAGCUACAGCCAAUGCACAGGGAGAUGCAGCCACCAUAAGUCCUAAUCCACGGUAAAUUGAACCCCUACAAACUAAAGAAAAUGUCAGAGCACAGAAAGUUCUAGCCUGGAGCUAAGUGUAUCAAAUCAAUAAAAUUGGUCAAUCAAAAUCGACAGUAGGAAAGUUAUCCAAAGCGUACUGCAUUAAGAACUAUCAAGAAGUACAUAAUAUGUUCUAUAUACUCCCUCCACCCCAAAAAACAAGUCAUUCUGCAAUUCAAAUUUGUCCCAAAAAACAAGACAUGGCAUGUGUGCAUGUGCAUGUGGGCAUAUAGCAGUCAAUUAGCACCAAAUAUGGCUAAUAAAUAGGGGCAAUCGAGGUCAUUUCACCUCCUUAUUAAUCUGUCCUAAAAUUCCUAGGGUGACAUGUUUUUUGGGACGGAGGGAGUAAGUAGAUAACGGGACCAAUACAGCAGUGUAACAUUAGAGGAUUACCUGAGUUACCAAAAAAGGGCCACUUAAAGAGUAACGGACCCAACAGUGCAACAGCCAAAGAAAGGGCCACCACAACUCUGCUAUAGUACUCUCCAAAUUCAUCGAGCCAUCUUUGCAACUUUGGCUUGUUUAGCUGGCCCUCUUCAGUCAAUUGGACAAUUCUGUUGAGUGUUGAAUCCACCCAUGAUUUGGUCACCUAGAACAAAAGGUAGUAAACAGACAACAAAUCAUUCUCUUGCAAGGUGGCAAGGAACAAUCUAGAAGAGAAGGAAACAUAAUAUACUAGCAAAGAAGUAUUGUUACUAGCAACUACUGACUAAAACUAAACCUUUGUUAAAUCUCAAAAGGUUAAUUAGGUUCCCUUCUCUUCAUCAAAGAAAGUUGGAACCAGGCAACCAGCCUCUUCAUUUAAGGGGAAAAAGGCCAAACCUUUACAAUCAUCCUUCCUUCCAAGUUCCUGGCACCGCCUGGUAUGGCAUCUCCCACUGUCCUUUCAAGAGGUUUUGUUUCACCAGUUAGGUGUUCAAUUGUGACAGUUGACGAACCUUGGUAGACUUCUCCAUCAACAGGCACAGACUAAAGAAUAAAAGAGCUGCACCAAAAUGAGAUAAAUUUCUACCGUACAGAAUAAGAACACGAACAGCAUGAAGGGCAAAAAAAGAUAAGUCAAACCAUUGUGCUCAGUUAGAAACAAAGUAAAAAAUCCACGACGAAGCUAUGAAUUGAAAACAAAAAUAGGAAAUGCAAGGACUGAAAUUCUAUACAAGAUAUAACACACCUCACCAGUUCUGACCAAGAUAUGAGAAUCCACUUCAAGAUCAUGCACAGGAACUUUGGUGUAACUUAAAUUUGAAAACUGUACAGAUUCUUCUCCACUUGUUUCUAACAACAGGGCAAAUUCAGGGUGAUUUUCCUUCAGUUCCCUCACGUCAAACAUUGACUUACUUGUAAAAUACUCUUCAGCUGUAAGAAACAAGAACAUGAAACUUUUAAUACACACACAACAGGAGCUAACACAUGGGACUUUCAAUUGUUGUCAGAAGAAAUGUACCGAUAUGAGCCAAGUUAAACAUUGCAAGGAGCAGGCCACCCUCCAAUGCAUUUCCCAUAAAUAUAGAAGCAAAUGCAGCAAGAGCCAUAAGAACAUGGAUAUUUAUUCUUCCAUCAGCAAUAUUUACAAGAGCAUCAAGCGCUGCAGACACCUAAACAAUAAGCAAGAAAUGUUAAGCAAGCCUCAAAACAACAAAUUAUUCUGAUCUCCCUUGUUCAGGAGGAAACCAAAGCAAAUAACAGUUUCAUGUUCAAUUAAUUUCAUUUUACAUUGGCGUGACUGUCACGUCAGCUGCUGAUAAGCUGUAGCUGAAGUCUCAACAACAGAAUGGCUAAUUUUAAGCUUUGAACAAGAAUACUAAAGUUCUAUGAUAGCAUCCAAAUAGUAGCUUCCCUCUGUAAGCUUGUAGACAAAAUCACCAAUGCCACUUGAUCCCAUAAAAUUUUAUGCCAAAAAUGUUUCCAAAGGAAAGGAUGAAGCGUGCUCAUUUACAACUGAAACCCCAAUCCCAUGCUAUAAUUUCCUUAGCAACAAAUUCUCAUUGAAAUUACAGCAACACAGAAAUGACACACUCAGACACUAACUAGUUCCUCCGAAAGUGCAGGGCUGUCUCCAGGAAUCUGAGGCCGUGUGUGAAAUGCAAAAUGAGGCCCUUCAAUAUUAAAGACAUCAUGCUUUUCAGAAUCUAAAUCAUACUCCCUCCAUCCCAAAAAGAAUGAUUUUUAGGAUUUUUCAGACAGAUUAGGGGUGAACGAAAAACAUGCAUGUACCCUUAGUUCAGUUUGCAUAUAGAAAAUGAAGAAAAUAUGUUUCCAUUUAAUCAUGCAUGCACGAGAUCAACGCGCCAGAUUAUGUAUGCAUAAGAUUUAAAUCCUAGAACGCCAUUCUUUUUGGACAAAUUUUGAAUGCCAAAACAUCAUUCUUUCUUUUUAGGAUGGAGGAAGUACUUUCUAAUUCAUGUAGACAUGGAAACUAAUCUCUGUUCCAUAAACAAAAUAAAAGUAAUUUGAAUUAAAUCAAACAGCACACGUACAUGUACUAGCAGUUUUCUUAAAAAUCAAUUCAGGAAGAAAGGAACCAAUGGAUUGCAUUCAGAAAAAAACUGACCUCAUGCUGGGUCCCUGGCCGUUGGGUGUUGGCCCGAUGGCAUCUUGCGGCUUCCCGGCCACAAGGAGAUCACCGUGACCUGCAGACUGCAGUCUUGCUAUUCGUCGAUCCGAUUUUGACUCUCGAGUCUCGAGUUUGUGAUGGGAUCACAGGAAAAUCGGAAGCGGAAGGGCCGAAGGGGCUGCGAGCAUGCAACGAUUUAGUUGCCGCGCGGCGGGGUGUCGGACGCGGGCGGAUCAGAGCUCGCGAGCUGCCGAGUUUGUGCCCUAAACGAUCGAGUACUGGGCUUGGGGUGUUAAAAUCUGUGAGGCCCUUCGUUUUUUAGGCCCUGCGCGGUCGCUCACCUCGCUCUUGGCCUUCGACGGCCCUGUUCAAUUGAACCUAGUUAGUGGUGAUCCCCUGAUAUGGGGCAGGAACGUCACAACUAGCAAAGGAGCAGAGUGGCUAAGCAUUACCCCGACGAGAGGGAAGGCGACGGCGAUGAGCGUGGCCUGCAGGCACCCGACGGUGUUUAGCAGCGCGACGUGCGGGCAGGCGGCGGCGAUGAGGAGGAGGCCGAGGGAGAUGCAGCAGAGCUGGAGGUGCUCCCGCAGCGCGUCGGCGACGUCGGCCCACCCGAUCGCCCGCGCCACCCGCAUGACCGCCGCGCCCCCGCCUCCCCCGUGCGCGUCCACCCCGUGGUGGCCGUGGCCGUGGUGGUGGUGGUCAUGGCCGUGGUGAUGGUGAUGGUUGUGGCUGUGGCCGUGGCCGCCGUACGCGCGGGGGGCGAAGAGCAGGGACGGGCGAGAGGCGAAGAGCAGGGACGAGCGAGAGGCGACGAGGAGCGGCGGGCGGCGGGUGAGGGCGAGGGGUUUGGGCGGGGAGCAGCGGCGGCGGAGGUGCGGGAAGGGCGGGGUCCGCGAGAGGCGGAGCAGGUGCGCGGACGGCGUGACCGGCGAGGAGACCGAGGCGGAGGCGGUGAGGAAUUGCAUCGCGCCGGCGGCGGGUGGGGAUGGAGAUCGCUUCAGCGAGGCGGUUGACGCUGCUGCUGGGGGUGUGUGUGUGUGUGUGGGGGGGGGGGGGAGCCGGACGGGACGGGGACGGGACUAGUCCACCAGGGGUUGGACUGGCGGGCGUGUGGUGCACGGGUGCCUGCGAGCCAGGCGAUGGCGAUGACGGGCGUGGGCGCGGGGGCCCGGGCCGGGGUUUGCCUCGUGGAGUCGUGUCGUCACCAUGUCACCGAGUCGCAACAUCGUGUCGACUCUGAUUUUGCGAUUUGUAACUUGUUAAUCUACUGUACAAUGCACAAGACGCAUUUAUGUCUUUUUCGGGGAAAAGGGGCCUCUAUUUUGCUACCGCUACACAUCUGACAUUAAUAUUUCAGUGAUACGUGAAAUCCUCUCCUCUAUCAAUGCAAUAGACAUAAUCUCGUAUCGAUUCCUUCAAAAAAAUCAGGCAUAAUCUCGUAUCGGAUCGUUCAAAAAAUCAUACCUUAAAACAAACAAGUAUUUCAGUGGUAUACGUGGGUCAUAAAAGGAAUAUAAAAUAUUGGAAAUAAAAAAGAGAAAUUUAUCCUCUUCUGAUCUACAGUAACAUCAUUUUUUCAAGAAGCGAUGGCAUUGGCUGAUGCAUCUGCUGGGCCAAUGUUUCGCCAGGCACAGACAUAACUUGUGGCACGCCCUUGUUUACUUCCCUCCAAACUUCCAACUUUGACACUAUGCAAAAAGAAGAUUCUCCAUCACAUCAAACUUGCGGUACAUGCAUGGAGUACUAAAUGUAGACGAAAUCAAAAACUAAUUGCACAGUUUUGUUGUACUUUGCAAGACGAAUCUUUUGAGCCUAAUUAGUCAAUAUUUGGACAAUAAUUCACAAAUAUAAACGAAACGCUACAGUUGCGCAUUUAUGGCAAAAUGCCAAUUUUGCCUAUCCCAAAUUGGGAAGUAAACAAGGCUAGAAAUCCAGCCUUGUAGGCCCAAAACCUCCAAGGCUCAUGAAUUCUUUUAUUAUUUUUUCCCCUUCAAGACGCACGACUCUUUCCAUUUUGCCUUCGUAGCAUUUGCUUUCAUUUCGACUCUAGCAUUUCUCAGAUUGUAUUUUUAGGCUUCCAGUAAUUGCCAAGUCGAACAAAUAGCAGGAGUAGCAUUACCCCGACGAGAAGGGUAGGCGAAGGCGAUGAGCGCGGCCUGCUGGCGCCCGACGGAGUUGAGCGCCGCGACGUGCGGGCAGGCGGUGGCCACCAGGAGCCCGAGCGAGGCGCAGCAGACCUGGACGCGCUCCCGCAGCGCGUCGGCCAGCCCAAUCGCCCUCGCCGUCCGCGGCACCCGCGCCCCCGCCCGCCCCGAGCACGUCCACUACGUGGUGACCGUGGCACUGGCCAUGGUGAUUGCGAUGGCCGCGGCAGCCGCGCGUGGAGGUGUGUGGAGCACUUAAGUCACCUAACAUGCGAUAAUGUACUUUAAACGAGCUAACUCGGUCGUCCGAAAUUACUUGACUUAGAAUCAAGAAAGCACAGCUCACGUGACAAUGAGUGGUUACAGGGAUUAUAACAAUCCAUCCAGAUUAAUCAUAAUGCAUCGCAAUUCACAAUUGAGCAUAUGGUUAGCAUUUUGUACACAAUCAUAUUCCUAAUAAGAUCUUUUUUCUUUAAAAGUACAUUACUAAUUCAUCAUGCUUACUGCAUUCAGAACUAUAUUUGAAAAUUGAAAUCCAUACUGCAAGCUGAUCCGACUUCCUAUGUUUGGAGGGUUGUUUAGAUUUUUGCAACCAUACAGGAGGUGACGGUGAAAGUAAUAUGCCUAAGAGCAUAGCAGAAACAAAUAAUCUUUUUUCUCUGAUAAAGAAUUCAACAUUCAAGAUGCAAUUCUAUUUUUGUAGCUCACCAUAGGACUACAAGAUUACCAUAUCAAUAUGAAUGAUCGUUUUCUUCUUCCCUGAAUGAUCAGCAUUCGACUUUUUGCUUUUAGCUUCUAGUAAAUUUGAGAAGCGCUUUCUAUACCGGUUCCUCCAUGUCCCAAUGAAGUGCAGUCGAGAAAACUAGAACACCAAAUAAAAAUAUAAAAACUAAUCAGCAUGACCAAAAAACUGCAUGAACAGCGUAUGGGUAGAUAUCUGAGCAGCAAAGCUAGAAACAGAAGCUUAAAAAAGAUAAAAUGACAAAUUUACCAACAGUAGACCACCAAAUGCGAAAAUGAAAAAUCAAAUAUUGUUAUUUGUUCCACAGCGCCAUACCUUAAAAUAAUUUUCAACAAAAUUUGGGUCUGUAAGGGUUGAAUGUGGCCGACUAGAAGGUUUAGCUGCACUUUUCUCCAAUGGUGAGGACAAAUGGCUGCCUGUAGAGCUUGUACUGCAUAAGUUUGAACACCUUGACUUUGCAUCAGGGGACUGAGCCACACCACAUUUACCAUCCAUGUCAUUAACCCUCCUCUCUGAACAUGCAGUUUCACAAUCAUACUCACCCUCAUCAACAGCAAAAUCACCACUAUCUCUUUGUUCAAAUGUUGAUGCCUUCAGUUCAUCUGAGGAUAACGAAUCAUUUGAUAACUCCACAUUAUCCAUUGAAAUUCACUUUCACAACCCCCACUUUGAUACUGUGAUCCCUCCUGAGCAGACGAAGAUUGGAACUCAAUGUCCUUAUUUUGAUCGUUUUGCUCCCCCAGGUGACGCAUUUCAUUUUGUUUCUCAGAAAGAAAGCAGAAAGCUUCAUUUGCUUUCGGCUUGAAGAACUAUUCUGACUUAUUUGAUAUGGAGCACCUGAGUUCAAAUAUAGUAAGAAAAGAUAAUGCAUAAGAAUAUAUGGAUUCACGAGUGUGUAAAAGCUCAUCAAGCACCAACAUAGGUUGUAAGUACAUACGUCUAUAUUUUAAUAAAUUAAUCUUCUAUUCUUAUAAAAAAUGAGGGCAUAUGUUUACAGAACUAAGCAAAAUACUGUUGGAUCAUGAUUUCACAUAUAAUUUUUACAUAUAGGCCUUCAUACAAAGCAUAGUUCUAAUUACGGGGAUAUCUAUCUUAACUCAAGGAACAAAUUAUUGAGAACACUCUGCUGGUCAUAAAAAUAAAACAUCUAUCUUAGUCCCAGGAGGUAACCACACAGUGUCAGCUCACUCAACCCUGUCACCAACAAGCACAAUACAGGCAACAUGUUCAAUCCAGAUACAGACACUAAUUAAGCUAAAGUUGCAUUAAGGAAGCAGAUCAUUCAGCACUAAACUGACUACAAAAAGGUGAGCAAGGACGAGAAAAUACAGUUGAGGAUCCGGUUCUCUGCCAGAGAAUCCACCACCCAUGCCGGCUUCACAACUGGAAGUCCCUUAUUGCUGAAUGCUCUGGAUCAAACAGCAACACGAUCAUCAUAAUCAAGGCAGAGGCAUGCUAACAGAAGCUCUGAGGCUCCCUUCCCAUCCACUUACAUACCUCAGGUUCUUCAUUUUGCUAUGAGGCAGGUUGCUGCAAACAAUGUGUGUCACCGUGUGCCUCGAGAAGUAAUUAACAAACCGGCCGCCAUUGUUCAGCAUAAUCUCCUUCAGUUCCUAAAAAUCCCCCCAAACGAAACAAAAUUAGAUCGACACGCACCCCACUGGUUUAUUAGCAACAAAAUUCAGUUGCGACCAGAUGAUCAGGUGCGAGAAAUGCUUAGGAUGAGAUGGGGGCACCUGGCUAGAAGGGAUGGUGAAGCCGUCGACGAAGAUGGAGACGCCCGCGAACAACCCACCGGCGUCCGCGCCGGAGGUGGAGGCGUCGGCGUCGAACUGCGCGGCGAGCUUGCUGUUCUUCGCGGCCAUGUAGCUGCCGAAGUCGGCGAACGGGGAGGAGGCGAAGGCGCGGCGAGGGUUUUUGGCGGGGUCGGAAGGGGACCCGCGGCCGCUUCAGGCCCGGCGACGAUGCCGCCGCCGCCGCCGCCGACAGGGCGCGGAGACCCGAGGAGGUGGAGCUCAUGCCGGCGGGGAUCGGAGGGGAGUGGCCGUGAGGCGGCGCCGUCGAUCGGGGUGGCGAGUCGGGCGGGGAAAUUUGGGAGCGCGCGAGUCGAAGGGUCAAGUGGGCGAGCGAGGCGCGCGGUGCGGGCGAACGCGGAGCGGCUGAGAGCCUGUCCGUCUCGACGUCCGGGCCUGCCAUGCACGAGCAAAAUGUGGCGUGACGUGACCGGCCUGAUCGUGAUCAAUCACAGCAUGCAGUGGAUGCUGACAUGCUAAACGGUGCCGCUGGUGCCUGGGAACCCAUGCCAUGAGGACACCCAGCUAGCUGGCCGCACUGCUCAACUGCUCAGUUAAGGUUCAGGUUCAGACUGCGGAUGCUCCGGUCGCGAUGCCCUGCCCCGCGACACGUACCAAAGGCAUCCGGUCGACGCGCCUGUUGUCGACCACCGCCGGCGGCCGGCGUACGGUGUCGGGAACCAAACUCUGGGUGCGAGACGCCCGACCGGGGCUGCGUCGAUCAUGUGUCACAGUACUAUGAUUCCUCAGCAGAUUGAGUUCGGCACUCACGUGCGGAAAGUCUUGUCCUCUGAGUCUCCGAUGGGAAGAACACCGCCGUGUGCCAGCGUUCACAUUCCAUCACGCAGCCAAAUGGGAACGCGCAAAGGAAACCGUCAACCGCUGCUCCAUGUCGCGCUAACUGCGGUGAGCCGGCGACGGUGAGGGGUUGGGUUGCAGCUCCGGACCGGAUGGCUGCCAUCAAGUGUAGGUAGGAAGUACGGCAGGUCGUGGUCAGACGUGAUCAUUUGUCGGGUCAGGUUCUUUGGAUGGUUGGGUCAGAAUUUUUGGCCUGCGCUCACCCGGCACAUGGUCGGGAUGGGUCGGGUUCGGGUUUUUUUUUAACUUUUGAGUUGGGUUGGGUUUUUCAGGUUUUGGGCCGAAAAAAAUGGGCCCACGCUCGAACCGUCACAUGGUCCGGUCGGGUCAGGUUGGGCUUUUUUCGGGUGGGUUGGGUCGGGUUUGUCAGGUCGGGCUACCUAUGAUCCGAUCUACUCGUGGUACAUGCUUGUCCGCACGUGCAUACCCGUUGGUCUUCAGAAAACUCCAUGACACAAGGAAUUGCCUUUAUGCAUUGCUACCAAAGAGAUAGCCAUCUCUGUGUCAACAUUUCAAUUACACGCAAAUCAGAGUGCAUUGCAAUGCUCCUAAUCCCCCUCGAAUGAUUCUUAUCCCCUUGUUCGCGUCUUGCACACAUCUUGCAGAGGCCGCGGGCAAGCGAUCCUCUGCCCUCCCUACGCGGCGCACUUGCAGAGGCCGCGGGCGAGCGAGUGGGGCCCCGGGAAUCGGCGUCCGGUCCACACGGCGCAUGCGGAGCUGCUGCAGAUGAGCCAGUGGGGUCGGGCGGAUCUCCCCAGAUUUCAGCGCCUGAUUUAGCGGUGAGCGCAGGCGAAUCCGCCUGGGAUUCGGUGACGGGAUCGUUUGCGGCCGGGACUUCAGCAGCUCCUGAGUUAUUAUCGUAUGCGUCUUCUUCUUCAACAUUGAGCUCCAAAUUUGAUGGAUUUAAUUCUUGCACAUCACCAAUAUUCUCACCAGAACCAUUAGAUAGAUUAGCAUCAUUAGACACACAACUUACAUCCACAUAGCUAAGCAAAUGUGAAGGUAAAAGAAUAAUUUCUUUGUGUAGUUGGGUGCCGGCAUUAGGAUUGAGAUGAGCAAAAGGGAAAAAUUUCCACAUCAAAGACAACAUCUCUAGAGAUGUAGAUGCGUCCAGUAGAGAUGUCAAGGCACUUAAACCUCUUGUGCAUAGCACUAUAGCCUAAGAAGGCACAAUGAGUAGAGCGAAAAGCAAGCUUGCGCGAGUUAUAUCGAUGCAAGUUGGGCCAACAAGCGCAACCAAAAACUCGAAGGGGUGUAUAAUUAGGAGUCUCGUGAAGAAGUCGAAUAACAGGGACAUCAUAGUCAAUGAAUUUGCUUGGAAGAAGGUUAAUGAGGUAGGUUGCGGUUAGAAAGGCAUGAUCCCAAUAUUUCAAGGGUAUGGAUGCAUUAGCAAGAAGAGCAAGCCCUACCUCAACUAUGUGAUGGUUCGGCAACACCGUUUUGUUGAUGAGCGUGGGGACAAAACACACGAUGUGUGAUGCCUAUGCGUUGGAAAAAGGAAUUCAGCUUCUCAUAUUCGCCUCCCGAAUCUAACUGCAUAGACUUAAUCUUUCGACUGAAUUUUCUUUCUACGAGUUGUUGGAAAUUGUGGAAAACAUGAAAGACAUUGGAUUUUUUUCUUUAGGAGAUAAAUCCAAGUACAUUUGCUGAAAUUAUCAAUGAAGCUAACAUAAUAGCUAUGGCACCCAACACAUAAGGAAAUAGGUCCCCAGACCUCAGAGAAAAUCAGAUCAAGAAAAAAUUCAGAUGAACUAUUUGAUAUAGGAUAUGGAAGCUGACAACUCUUGGCCAUCUGACAAGAAUUACAAAUAGACUCUGAAUUUUUAUCACUAGUACAAGGAAGUUUAUUCAAACUAAGGAUUUUCUCUAUAAUAGGAAAAGCUGGAUGACCAAGUCUACUAUGCCAACAUGUAGCUGAAGGUUUAUUGACCGAAAAAACUUGUUUCCUGGGAUCUUCUGGAGAUAUGUUUGAUCCUAAGGGAUAGAGACCUCCUCGGCAGCUACCUUGAUGGAUGACUUUCUUCGUUUCCUGAUCCUUUAUACAAAAGAAAUUUGGAUGAAAUUCUAAGAAGGCAUCAUUAUCUCAAGCUAGCUUAUGAACAAAAACUAAAUUCUUGCUAGCACCAGGAACAUGAAGAAUAUUUUUGAGAAUAAUAUUUUUGCUAGGGGUGUGUAAAGUUGGAUGACCAAUGUUACUAAUUGUUAUACCUGUUCCAUUGGCCGUAUUUACUUGAUCUCGCCUGUUACACUUGUCAUGGACUGUCAUCUUCUCAAGCUCACUAGUAACAUGAUCAGACGCCCCACUGUCUACAUACCAGUUUGUGUCAUAGCCAUAACCAGUAGUAGCUGCCCCUACGGACUUUUGAUUUUGUUUAUCUUCAUUGUCAUCAUAUCUAUACCAGCAGCGAUCUGCUUCAUGUCCUACUUUCUUGCAUGACAAAUUGUCUUGGCAUUGCGUCCUCCUUGCUUGAACGUGUUACUUGGGCCGGAGCUACUGUUAUUGUUGCCACGGUAUGAUCCACCGCGACCACCAUUGCAACGGCCACGACCACAAUUGUUAUUGCCUCGGCCACGGCCACCAUAGCUGUUGCCAUAGCCACGUCCUCUACCAGCCAUAUUGGUUGACGACUGGAAUUGGGCACCUUCUUGAUGCAUCUUCAUGAGUUGAUCAUAUGUAAGCAGUUGAGAGUACAUAUCACUCAAAGAAAGAGAAUCAACCCGACCAAGCAUAGAAGACACAAAGGGAUUAUAAUCAAAGUCAAGACCAUUCAAGAUAAAGUGAAUCAUCUCAUCAUCAUCUAUGAACUUCCCAACCGUGGCUAAUUCAUCUUUGAAAAAACACAUCUUGGUGAAAUAAGCUGAGGACCACAUGUUACCCUUCUUAGUUGUAGAUAGUAGGUAGCGCAGAUUUGCAAUCCGAGCCUUGGAGUGCACCGAGAACAUCCUCUCAAGCGCCUCCCAUGCUUCUGCUGUUGUGGUUGCCGUUGCCACCGGUGCUAGUGCAUCCUUGGUGAGAGAAUUCAGUAGGUAGCUCAAUACCUGCUGAUCUUUUGCAACCCAGGAGUCGUACUUGGCAUUGUGGACGAUCUCCUUCUUGCUGUCCGCCUUGACCACCUCCAGAGUCUUGGGCGGCUCAGGGAUAGAUCCAUUUAGAAUCCCCAUGAGUUGAGCUCCUUGUAUAGCAGGAAGGAAUUGAGCCAUCUAUAGGAGGUAGUUGUCUCAAGUUAAAUUUCUCGGAGACAACCCCUAAUAGCGCCGGUGUGGAAGUUGAUGGUGACGUCAUUGGAGGUUGUGGAUGUUUGUGGAAGAGGAUGCUCUGUUUACCAUGUAAUGUAAGAAAAGAGGAAAUGUGGUUGCUUAUCUUGGCUCGCCACGGUUGCGUGUUUAUAUAGGGUGAAAAACCACCAAGAGAUUUACAUGAAUACAAUUGUGAUUACCUAGGACUCGAUUUGCUUUAUAACUUGAUUUACAAGAGAAUCUAUCUUUAAGCAAUCCGAGUCUAUCUCUAAGAUUACAAUUAUGGCACAUGUGCACAAUAGAUCAUGGCGCAUGGCGCACAGUAGCAAGAGCUACCUGGUUACAAAUACAAUUUUAACAGGGGGAACUUUUUCGUGCGGUGGUGGUGGGCUGAGGACGGAGGGGCAAAGGGUUUCGCGCAGACGAGACGAGGGAUGCACGAAGAGGAAUGGCCUGGGUAGGUGGUGAUUUUAUAGCGAGCGAGAACUCGAGAUAGGCUGGCAUCCUCGGCACGCCAAGGAUGCAUGGGACGGCCGGGCGCCGGCUCUGGCUGUGGAUCAGAACAAACAAAACGCCGUCAAAGUUUUUCCGUUCUCUUUUACUGCCGCAGCAGCAAGCUCGUCGAGAAAUGCACGGUGCGCGCGCCUUCUCUGAUGACGCCGUCGAACGAGACGACCGUCUGCGGCGAUGCGUCCCUGGCGCGCGCGACGGCAGGGUGCUCGUGCACCAGCGUGGCUCAGUCCUAGUGCGGCGUGCGGUCCAUCCUCGUGCACAGAGCUGAGCCCAGGUAAAACGGCCGGCCGGCCGGGGUGCCGCUGCUUAGCCGGUGUCGUUGUUGUGUCGACGCAGUGGAGGAACGACGCGAGGGUGAGAGUUACUCGGCCAUGAUCGACUCCACUAACCGCGCGUGUAGAUGGCCCCAGCCUGAACAACCUCCCGGACGGUUGAAGCUACUCACCAACUUCAAGGUGUAGCAGGCAGAUGGUGUGUGCACCGUGCACGCAUAGCCUGCUCAUCCACACACACACGCCUAGCAUCGAAACGUGACAAUAGAGGGCCGCCAUGCGGCACGUAUGCGGGCUCGGUGAGAGUUGCAUUGAGAAGAGGUUGACAAGAAAUGACAGGGGUAUAACCAAAGUACGCAUAAUUUUCUAAAGUAUUUCUUGGUUCAGUUUGCCCUCUAGACCAUGUAAUUUAUUUUUUAUUUUUUCAUGCACAAGUGGAGUCAUAAGUUAAAAUUUUGCAAUGUGAUAGUAGGCAUCAUAAGAUAUAUUAGAAAUAUAUCAUAAACUUUUUAUCAUUAUUUUGAUGGGGUCGAAUAUUUAAUAAUAGAUUUAUCCUGCUAUACAAAAUUAUAUAAAAAAUAAUGAUAAAAAUUAUAAUAUAUUUUUUAACAUAGAUUCUGAUGUCCACUAUCACCUGCAAAAUCUCAAAUUAAAAUUCAACUUGUGUAUGGAGAAAAUAAAAAGAACAAAUUGCAUUAGGGGUAAGUUAGUUGAAUAAAAAGCAUAGUUUAGGGGGGAUAAAUUGAACUAGAAAAUAAUUUAGGAGGUUAUUUGGACUUUUGCUAUACUUGAGGGGAGUAGUUUGGACUUUUUCUCCAUCACCAUUGGUCCUAACGUCAGUGGAAGAGAGAAGAGAUAAUAAAAUAGAGAGAACCACGCAAGAUCUGGAUCGGAAACCUCCUUAUUCAGAUUUCCUUCACUGCUCCUUUUCGUAAAAAGCCUAUACAUAACUAGAAAUCUUUUUAGAAGAACAUAAUGAUGCAACCUAAAACUACUGAAGCUGCCGUGUACAACAUCAAUCUCAUUGUACACGCUUUCCCAAGCACUGUUCGCAGGGUACCACUUACAUGUUCGGUAGUAGUAGCAGUGUUAAGAGAGCUAGCGAGGCUUUUGUAUCUUGAGCAGCAUUAUUGUAGUAUGAAGCUAAAAUCUCUCUCGUCUUCUUCAUACCCAGCCUUCAUCUUCUCAACGCUUCCUUCAAGGGCAUGCGCAAGAGAUGGCUGUGGACUUUAAUGUCGUAAGCAUCUGCACAUGACGUCAAAUACAACAACCCUACUUGCAGACGCCGAUGUUUGUAUGUCAAGGGACCGUCUGACAGACGCUAUUAAACGAUUAAUGUUGGCCCUUUCCUUCCUAAAUACCGCCCACCGCCAUAGCACCCCCAUAGACUUGAGCUCAUCGAAUUCGUCUCUUAGUACUCUCAUCCUAAUUCGCUGCAUUAUUAUUUCUCGAGACAAUGACGACCUUCAGAUUAUUUCAUCCGCACGGUAUUUGCGUGUGACAUACAUGUCUUUAACAUAUAGUCAGACUUUUUCCCUCUGAGCUUCAACAUAAACUUCCGGAGUUGUCGCCUGAAAAUUAAAUCAGACAUAAACCACCUUGUAAUUUAUACCGUACCGCCUAAAAUUCACACUAGCGUUACGACUACCAUUGGCAAUUCGGUUAUAUAGCUGUACCUAGAAUAUGAGGAAAAGAAACAAAAGAAUAGAAUGCAUGCAUUCAUCAUAGAUUGAAAAAAAAAAGAGUGUAAACCUGUAUCUCAAUUCGUCACGUUGGCCGAUCUGAUCCAUCGGUUUCAAAGGACAACUGAUUGUCGAGAAGAAUAAGACAAAGAAGAAAACGUAAUAGCCCUCUUUAUUUUAUUAUGAGCCCGGCAACUCUCUUUUUUUCUUUUUCUAAAAAAACUCUAACUCUUUUUUAUUCGAAAAAUAACUCCAACUCUUUUUUUAUAGGGACUCCAAUUAGGUAGGUGCAGCUAGCUGAUUCUGCUUCUGUGCACAUUGCACGUAUGGAUGGAUUUAUUUGGCUCCGACUUCAACUUGCAGCCGAUCGAGCCCGAUCGCCAAGGUGUUUGCCAGGUGGCGCCGCAAGCACUCGACCUAGAUAUAUAGGCAGGAGCAGAAGAAACCCUUUGCCUCUGGCGGUCGGGAUCCGGCCUGGCGCCUCGAUCUCGUACGUGUCGCGUGCUCUGUGGCCGUAGUAUGCACGCCUGGGGGAUGAGCGCGCUGGGCUCUGCAGCGACGUGCUGGCCUGCUGCUGGUCCUCUCAUCGUCGCCUGCGCGCGCUGCCGUGCGCCGUGUUCCGGUCGGCCGGUUCCAUUGCAGGCUGCAGCGCGGCACGGGUCGCCUCCGCCCUGCUUGCUUGCUUUUCGCCACCAACCGCGCCGCGCUUUCACGAAAAUGGCAAGCGGCGGGGCGGUAGCUUUUCUCCUCGGUCGCCGGCGAAAAGAGGGUUUGCGUCCUGUCACCCUUGGCAGGACGCGCGCGCCAACAGCUAGCCUUCUGCAUACUGCGUGCGUGGCAGCCGGCCAGCCCCGAACAGCUGAUCUCUGCCUGCCUGGCCUUUGCGCAGCGCCAUCGCCCCUGCCCGCCCCCGGCCGCGCAAAUCCGGCCAUGCAUGUGGCCUUGCAGCCUGUGCAGUUUCGCGAGCGAGAGACGGAGGAGAUCAUGCUCCCCAACGUUCAUGGACACGUCUACCUAGGGUUGCUACAGGCCUAUNNNNNNNNNNNNNNNNNNNNNNNNNNNNNNNNNNNNNNNNNNNNNNNNNNNNNNNNNNNNNNNNNNNNNNNNNNNNNNNNNNNNNNNNNNNNNNNNNNNNNNNNNNNNNNNNNNNNNNNNNNNNNNNNNNNNNNNNNNNNNNNNNNNNNNNNNNNNNNNNNNNNNNNNNNNNNNNNNNNNNNNNNNNNNNNNNNNNNNNNNNNNNNNNNNNNNNNNNNNNNNNNNNNNNNNNNNNNNNNNNNNNNNNNNNNNNNNNNNNNNNNNNNNNNNNNNNNNNNNNNNNNNNNNNNNNNNNCCUAUUUUAUGGAAUCGAGGCAAAAAUGAACUAGUGGAGAGAAGGCCUCGUGAUCGCGUGAGCGGCAAGGCCACAUGGCCGGGCUGCACAGGGCUGGGCGGCUGGCAGGGAUCAGCUGGACAGGGUGGGCCGGUGACGACGCUGCAUGCAGCAGAGGGCGCGGCAGGGUAGCGCGUCGCGCCAAGGGCGCCCAGACGCGAAUCCUCUUUUUGCCGGCGAGCGAGGCGAAAAGCAACCGCCCUUCCCCUCCCCUCCCUCGCCCGGCGUCGCGGGCCAGCUCACCGUACCCGCCGCUUGCCGUUCCCGUGAAAGCGCGGCGCGGCGUGGUGGUUGGUGGUGAAAAGCAAUCAAAAUGGCCUGGUCAGGCAAGCGAGCCGUGCGGCGUCGUGAUCCGGCCUGCACCGGGACGGGCCGACCGGCACACGGCACCGCGCGCAGGCAGGCGGCGAGACGGUGGUGGCAGGAGCCCCUGCACCCUGCUGCCCCGCUGCAGCCGACGACGACGCGGACCACCACGUCGCAGCAGAGGGGAGGAACCCAGCGCGCGCUCUCGUCUCGCUCCCUCGCUCGCACGGUCGCCUCGCCCUCGCGCGCAGCCACGGGGCACGCGACACGUGCCAACGUGCCAGAUCGAGGCGCCGGGCCGGAUCCCGACCGCCAAGAUGGGAAGGCUUUUUCUCGAAGCCUUGGAUGCGGUGUCCUCUUCCUAGCUUUUAUCCUCUUCUCCCAAGCCUCACGGUCAAGAGGGGAGAGUUCUUUCCUUUCCCCCGUUGUUUUGUUUUCAUGAAGGAAACUAUUGCAACCUUUAGUUUCAAAAACUACUGCAACCUUAGGCUGCAUGAAGCCCUGAACUCCUUUUUUUUUCUUUGUAUAUAAACCUUAGCUUAUCUCUUUUGGUGCAUAUUUUGCGUUGUGUGGUCUUAGAAAUUCAAAGAAAGAAAAAUCGAACACCAAAUGGUCGAUCUCCUUGCCACGUAGUUUGAUGAAGCUUUUCCUCCUUUUUGAAGGUGCCAGUUCAUUCGGAGCCGGAGCAGGAGAAGAAACUCCAGAAAAUCCUAAAAAAUCUUUUUCAAAAAAUGUUGAAGCAAUUUUUUUUUAAAAUGUUGAUCAACAUUUUUUUUAAAAUGUUGGUGUAACUAUUUUUCAAAAAAGUCAGAUUCAACUUUUUUCGAAAGAAAUGGUGGUUCAACUUUUCAUAAAAAUGUUGGUGCAACUUUAUUUUUUUGAAAAUGUUAGUCUAUGAGCAACUCCAAGAGGCUGCUAAUCUUACCCCCAAUAUCUUUUUUAGAAAAAAAGAGAGAAAAAAUGAACUCCAACAAUCUACCUAAACCUUCCCCAAUUUUUUAGCGACGCUAAAAAACAGCCUGCCACCGUGUAUAUUUUAGCGUUGGCGUUCCUUCCCCAAUCCUGAUUCCCGCACGCCCGCGCGUCCCUUCCGAUGGGCCCAAUACGAUGACGUGGCCUGGGUUUGAAAUAUUGGGGGCUAUUUAUUAGCGAUCUGCUGUGGACUGAUAUGUUUUUGGGGAAAAUUUUUUUAGGAGAACCCCCAAUACAUAAUUUUGGAAAAGAAUCUUUUAGGAUACUCUUGGAGUUGCUCUAAGUAACCCAAAGAGGAAUAAAGACUUCGCUGAGAGCGACGGAGGGCCCCCACCCACCGCCCCCGUCCCUCCACCUCGCCGCGUCGUUUCUCGCUUUCCGAGGGGAGCUCGCAAAACCCCACUCCCACUGCGUCGACCGCCCAGCCCCGCCGCGCCGAUCGCGCCGAACCCUAGCAUCGCCGCCUCCGCCGCCGCAAUCCGGCCGCGCAGCCGCAUUCCCCACCGCGCUUGCUCGCCGGAGGUAAGAUUCCAGCCACCCGCCCGCUCCUCCUCCCCCCGCGCCAGCCGUGUCUCGCUCCCGCGCUUCUUCCUUUUGCUGAAUUCUGUUCGUAUUCUUGAUGAAUGCUUACCAUUUUAGGGUUUUGUGUCUCGGUCGUAACAGCAAUUUCGCCGUGCCCCUUUCUCGUUAUUCGUGCUUUUGCGUUUCCUAGUUGGUGCCUUGUGACUGACAAAAAAAAAUGUUAGGGAAGAAGAGGAGGAUAAGAUUGAGAUGGGCAUUGGCUUAAAGUUAACUCUGUCUAUACACGAGAGUUAACCCUGAUCGAUCUCUCCUCCUCGCCCCACCGUCACGCCGCCCGUGCUCGACCUCUCCUCCUCACCCCGCCGUCACGCCGCCGCCUCUCCUCCUCGCCCCGCCGUCCCUCCGCCGCCUCACACCGCCGUCCCCGAAAUGCAGCCUCGGCGCAGAAAUCCGCACGGCGGCGGCGGCGGCGGCAGGUACGGGGCGAUUGGAACUGCCUCCUUCAAGAGGACCAACCAUAACAAGAGAAGUAAACCUAAUCGGCGCGGCGCCGGCGCGAUUGCUGCUCCCCCUGCCGCACCACAAGCGAUUCCGGUAAGCAUCCGCUGCAUACUUACCUUAACGUGGAAAUGUGGAUCAGUACAGCUUGCUUUCAACGGCGGAAUUCCACCUCUGUUGCUUUUGUGGUUUGAGUCACAGUUGAGAUCUUGGCCUUCAGUAAACUUAUGUAGCUUGUUAACUGCCAUGCUGCUAUUUCUGAACUUAUGUAGCUUGUUAACUGCCAUGCUGCUAUUUCUGAACUUAUGUAGCUUGUUAACUUGCUAUGUGAACCAAACUCUGCAAUUUCGUACUUCACAGUGCUGAAAUUUGGGCAUUUCCCUUGGUGGAAAAAGUCAAAGUUGAGAUGACUUUAAUUUUGUUGCAUGUUUGCAUUAUAUUUUGUAGGAUGAUGUCUUGCAGCUAUUCUUCAAGGACGCCACUACACAAAUGAAGCAGUCAUUGCUUCAGUAUGUCCAGGCAGGACCCCAUACUAUUCUGACCACAGUACCUGGUGAUACAAGAAAAUACAAGAAGCGAUCUGAUCAUGCCAGAUUGGCCACAUCAGCAAAGGUGUCCUGGUAUUAUAAUCUGCACUUUCUGGGAUGGUCUCUUGAGGGUAACGCUAGACAUCAUGAAUUUGGCAUUGACCAUCUAGGUUACCUUAAAGGACACACAACUCUGCUGAAGUUUCUGAAGAAAGUCUCUUUGAAUGGGAGAAGCAAAGACAUGCUGACUUGCGCGAACUGCAUUGAGCAUGCUAUACAUCCUAGUUCGCCAAGUGUGACAUUACCAGAAGACCUUAUGCAGCUGAUCCAUCUCCUGAGGAACUUUGAUCCUAAAUACUAUCCAUUGGUACUGGGUCAUGUGUGCCAUGAGGUUGAAGCUAUUAAGUGUGCAUUAUAUGUGAAGAUGUUCAACAGAUUGAUGGUCCUCAAGAGGGCAAACAUAACAACAUAUUUCAAGAUCAUGAAGGCACUCCCGUACAGCAACGUUUGGAUCAGUGAAGCUUCUAAAAAUGUGCACCUGGCUCAUGUUCUGCACUAUGACGGACGUCAGAUGAGCAAAAAGAUCCAGAAAAUCGUUGUACGAUUCCUUACUACCAGAAUCAAGUAUGACACAGGGGCUGAAGGGUUACUCAAUUUUCGACGGAAUGGUGAAGCACACCUUGAGAAGGAUUAUUCUGUUGACUUUGGAGGUCAUGUCGAAGCGGCUCUGACCGGUGCAAAGGCAGUACUUGAUCUGCAGCCAGGUGUUGCGGCAGGACCUCCAAAUCCUAUCGUUAGAAAACUGGCCUCUCGUAUAGGGUCGGCAGUAGCAGCCGUGCUUCAGAAGUCGUACUCAUCACCUGAAGCAGCAAAACAAGCUGCAAUUGCAGCAGCGACUACAGUAGCGCAAAAUCCCAAUCUAUGUAAGAAAAUUGCACAAAACAGAGCAGCAACAGCAGCAAAAGCUGCAGCAGCAAAGGCAGCAGUUUGGCCUCCAGCAGUCCCCCAAGCACCUCUGAUGUUUGACUCCGACCAAAUUGAGCACAUGUUUGAUGUAUCAACACCUCUAUUACUUGCUCAGUUCCAAAAAGCGAUGUUUGAUGAAUGGCAAGUUUUUCAGCUAGAUGACGGACAAAAGGUUGCCUGCCUCUUAUAGUUUCUGCAAGGUUUCGGUGGAAGUACAGUGUUUGCAAGGUUUCAGUGGAAGUAGUAGUUGGAGACUGAUAAGUAUCUGCAGGGUUUCGGUCGAAGUAGUAGUAGUAAUCUAUUAGGUAAUAUGUCCAGUUUAUGUUGUGUCAAUUGUCAGAUUCAUCUGACGUUUCUUACGCUGCUCUUUCGAUCUGACAUUUGUUACUGAACUGAAUAUUCCAGUUUGUAAGACUGGAGCAUCUCAAUAGUUUCUUUGAUUUUGGAAUAGACUUAACAAAUUUUAUUCUAUUAGUUUCUUUGAUUUUGGAAUAGACUUAACAAAUUUGAUUCUAUUAGUUUUUUUGAUUUUGUAAUAGACUCAACAUAUUUGAUUCUGUAAAGAAAUGGAGGAUUCUGUAAUUUAAAAAGCACUGGAAAAUAAUGUUAGCAAUCAACCAAUUCUUUUUUCUAGAAUACGCAGGAGAGCUACGUAUCAUUAUAUUAAGAGGGGUUAAACCAAUAUUACAACGCGGGUUUUUCCAGGCGUACGCACACGGUUCGUUAAUGAAUUAGACGAUUACACUGCAAAGUAAAACUCCCCUAGCACUAAAAAAAAAAACGGUUUCUAACCUGAACCUGUAGCCGACACCGGCCAACCUAGAGCGCUCAAAUGUCUUGCUCCGGCAGUAUACUUGCUUCAUCAGAAAUACGGUCGGGCAACAUUGCUGGGUUGUUGCUACUGCUCUGCUGAAAACACGCUCGUUUCUCUCUUUCCAAAUUCUCCAAGAUACUAACAUGAACAAUGAGUCGAGACCCCCUCUCUUGGUUCCAAUAAACGCUGCCCUUUUCAUCAGCCACCAAUCCAUCAGAUUCUGGUGGUGAGAUGGUGGCUCGUUUGUAGCGUUGAUCUUUGCACUAACCAUGAACCAGACCUGCUGGGUAUAUGAGCAUCUCGCAAACAAGUGCUCUGAUGUCUCAAUUUCCUGAUCACAAAGUGCGCAAAGCACCUGGUCCUGCAACCCAUGCCGGUGAUGUCGUUCUGCUGUCCGGAUGCGCUCUCUCAGGGCGAGCCACACAAAGAACUUCACCUUUAAUGGAGCCCAAGCCUUCCAGACUGGCUUGGCUGCCGGCGAUUUCGUUGAGCCAUGAAAGAAUGCCUUGUAAGCCGAUCUUGCCGAGUAAAUACCUGAGCUUUCCCAGCGCCACGAGACCUUAUCCUCGAUUCCUUGUAACAACUGAACUGCAGCGACAGCAUGCCAUAGGUUGACAUAUUGGGUAAGUGCUGCUACUGUAGGCUGUCCGACAAAAUCUGCUAUCCAUUGUUUGUCCUGCAGGGCUUCAGCUACGGUUCUUUUUUUCCUGAUCCGUGGCCUGACCAUAUUACACAGGUCUGGGGCAAGGAUGCAAGGCGAAUUAUGGCCUAACCAAUUAUCUAACCAGAAAAGAGCCAAAUUACCGUCACCGAGCUGAACUGAGAUGGAAGUCUGAAACAUAUGCUGAAGGACCACAUCCUGUUCAAAAUCCGUUUGUAAAUGUCGCCAAGGCCUAUUGGGAUCAGUUCUCUUUAGCCACAACCAUCUCAGCCUUAAGGCGAAGGAUGCAAUCCUCAAAUCCGGUACACCCAGGCCAUCACAUUCAGUUGGCCGGCAAGCAGUAGGCCAAUUCACUAAACACUGGCCGCCAAGUGCUUUAUCUUUCCCUGCCCACAGAAAACCUCUUCGCCUCUUGUCCACUUCCUGAAUAACCCAAUCUGGGAUCUUGAGGGAGAUUAGAGUGUGGGUACAUAUGGACCUCAUUACCACCUUGACUGUGUUUAAUCUACCUGCUUUGUUCGUAAGUGGGGUUUUCCAUGUAGGGAUUGUGGAUGCUACUUUGUCAAUUAGGGGCUGCAAGUGUGCUUUCCUGAGGCGUCCUACUGUGAGGGGCAAACCUAAGUAUUGGAUUGGAAAAUCACUUAGCUGUGCUGGAACAAUGUCUCUGAUCCUUUGCACUUGCUCCUCUGAACAAGCAAUCGGUGCCAUGAUGCUCUUUUGCAAACUCGUCUGAAGCCCAGAGGCAUUACCAAAGAAGGCAAGCACUUCCCUGAUCAUAAUCAUGUCUUGGGCUGUUGGGGAUGCAAACAAAACCACAUCAUCGGCAUAGAGGGAGCAUUGGUGAUGGAUUGAGGCGUCUGCUGGGGGGGGAGAGCACCCCAUCUUGGACUGCCUUCUUGAGCAACUUCUGCAAGAUUUCCAUGAGUAGUAUAAACAACAUAGGAGAUAAUGGGUCUCCUUGCCUGAGCCCCCUAGCAUUGUGUAUCGGCCUUCCAGGGCAACCAUUCAGUAGAACUCUUGUUGUUGCAGUAGAUACCAGUGCUGAAAUCCAGUCCCUCCAUUUUGGCCCAAAACCCAGUGUCUGCAACACUUGUAGAAGGAAAGGCCAAGACACUGUGUCGAAUGCCUUAGAAAUGUCCAGCUUAAGCAGGAUGCUCGGUUUCUUUUUCCUGUGCAGGCACUUUGCUGCUUGUUCGACAAAUUUAAAGUUGCCAUGUAUGGACCUUUGCUUAAUGAAAGCACUCUGGUUCAGAUCAACAAGAUUUUGUAUCUCAGGUGCUAAUCAAUUGGCUAAUAACUUUGCCACUAACUUGGCAAAGCUGUGAAUAACUUUGCCACUAACUUACAGGUGCUAAUCAACCAUUAAAUUCCAUUCACUGUUGAUGAUGACAUGCUACAACACUUCGCAACGCUUUGGUACAUCGGUAAGCAAGAUACACCAUGAAACCAAAGCUGAUAUAUCCAGCAUCUAAUUGGCCUUUGCAUAUUAUGAGCAGGGAUCUGAACAAUCACCAAGACACCAAGUACUGGCGACAAGCAAACAAUCAAUUUUUUGCACAAGUCUGACCCAAAGGCACUAAACCAUGAAGGAUAAAUUUUUGCACAAAUUUUUUCUCCACCUCCCACAGAUUCAGCUACUCCUACUCGUGUCUGUCACAAUGCACAAGGCGAUCGUGCUAACCCUGCUUCUAGGAUCAAACUUACAUGCAGUCUUGUCCUACCACCUGACACUGCAACAAGUGCCUCGGAGAUGCCUCAGAGAGCAACAGGUUUGGGUGUCUUUAUUCUCGACACAAAAGGACCAGCCAUCCAUACCAUUUUCAUCAAGGCAAUUUUGAGAGAGGUUUACCUGAUGAAAAUUUACAUAAGAGGACUCUGAUGAGGACUCCUGAAAUUCUUCAUGAAGAGGAUCCGGAAAGUCUGGUUAGUGGAUCCUCUUUAUUUACUAAUUUCCUAUCUUUUGCAAUCAAUUCUAGGUUAUUAAAUUCUUGUUUAAGUCCGUCCUCACGACAGAAGCCACAGCUAUACACUUGCGGCAAAGAUCACGGCUCUGCUUCACUUCACACAGGUCAACGAUAUGUCUGGCCAUGAAAUUAUGGUGAGAUUCUUCAACUUACCGCAUCAAACCAACUUACCGGAUUGGAGAUUAAAGCCAAUAACAACUCAGUUUCGGCAACUCAACAUGACAAUCCAACACAAGGUUUUACAAGACUCAUAGAGCAACAAAUGUGACUGUCCGUACUCUGGCUAUGCAGGCCAAAUACGGGACAGAGUCUCCUCUGCAGUAACUGCAGAAAUACGAUAUGUAAUGAUCUGGGUUAUUCAGAUCAGUGCCCUGUAAAGGAUGCACUAGUUUUUGUAAACUGGGAUCUUCUUGAUAUCAUAUCUGUACACUGCUGCUAAGUUUUAGUAUAUUCCAUUGCCCCCCAAAAAGUCAGCAAACUGAUAGCUAUGCUCGUGUGCUUUCAGCAACAGUGUUCCGGCUGCAGCUCCCUGGAAGAACAAUUUGAAGGUCAGUAUGGCACAAUCAAUACAUACCGUUUUACCUUCCAAGAAUUCUCACAAAUCCUGUUUCUGCAGCAUUCACUAUGAUCAGUUAAGUAAUUUAACAAUGAGCUAGUGUUAGACGAUACCCAAUUGUAUUUUGAAGGGUGUGUUGUACUAGGACAGGAAGAAUGGCAUCGUAGAGGUUGCGCGCUUCAUUACAGUUGACAAUAUAGUUUCCAUAUUGUAAUUCGUCGGGGACAUAAGCCUCAGAUAAUUUAACAAAGAUUUUUCGAGCAAAAUUUAACAAUGAUUGAUUUGUAGUUACCAUUUGUCUACCUGCCCUUCAUUGAAGGAGAAUGGUUUUGUGCAACGCAAUUGUACUCUUCUCAUUCACAUAUACUUAUACAUUUACAGAGAGGAUGUUGAGCAUGCAACUGAAAGUGCUAAAGAGUAGCUAACGUGCUCGUGUUUACAUGAACGUGUGUGACUUUGAUGGAGAGAAUAUCUCCCUGAUCUAACUGAACCACAGAAUGGGUCAACUGGAGAUACGGCUUCUGAAAUCCUCAAACAGAGCGGUAGGAAGGCCUUUUGUCAUUAUAUCUGCAUGUUGCAAAACUCUGAGUUGACCAAGGGCAACCUUUCCCCUGACGAAAUGAACAUCAAAUGCCACGUGCUUAGUUCGCUGGUGAUGAGCAGGUUUUGCUGACAUGUAUACUGCUUAGUGCCGAGAUGUCUUCGCAACAUAUCACACUUAGCUUCGGAGACGUUGAUGGUGCAGCUCACGAAGCAAGUUGAGUUUCCAGUAGCACUCUGCUGUAGCAUUUGCCACCCCGUCUUGUCUCUUGGAGCGGAGGACCAUGACACGAGAGUCUCCGAGGAAAACACAGUACCCUGAUGUUGAGCGGCCCGUGUCAGGGUACCCUGCCCAAUCGGCAUCGCAAUAGGUCAGCAGCUCCAUUGAUGUGUGGUCGUGUGGAUGCUCGGAGUGGCGGACCAUAGCAACUACUGCAGCAUCCUUUUCACCAAGUUCAGCAUCACAGGGAAGGCAGGCUUGGGGCACAGCGUAGGCAAGAUCUGGCCGUGUGAGAGUCAGGCGUUGAAGAUAGCCGGCAAUGCUGCGGUAAAGUGUCCUCGGGUGUAGGAGCCGGCUUGCAAUUUGCCAUGCCAGCACGCGCAAGAAUGUCCUCGAUCAGCAUACUGUGGCCUUCCAUGUUCGCAGUAUAAUUCUGAAGCUCUGCGAUAGAAAUCAGAUACUUCAUUCCAGCGUCCAAGCUCCUUGGGUGUUUGGAUCCCCAGGUUAAAUUUUAGUCCCUGUUACAUCGAAUGUUUGAACACUAAUUAGGAGUAUUAAAUAUAGACUAAUUACAAAACCAAUUUCACAACCCCUAGGCUAAAUCGCGAGACGAAUCUAUUAAGCCUAAUUAGUCCAUGAUUUGAUAAUAUGGUGCUACAGUAAACAUUCGCUAAUCAUGGAUUAAUUAGGCUUAAUAGAUUCGUCUCCCGAUUUAACCUAGGAGUUCUGUAAUUAGUUUUGUAAUUAGCUCAUGUUUAGUUCUCCUAAUUAGCAUCCGAAUAUCCGAUGUGACACGGACUAAACUUUAGCUCCAGGAUCCAAUCCCAAGAAGCAGCAGAUUCCGUAUGCUUAGCGGCAUAUGGGUAAUGAUGUGAAUGAAAGUUCUACAAUUGCACAGAAAUUUCCAAAGGAUACGAGGAGAACAUUUCUUGUCCUUUCGAUGCCUUCUCAUAUGCAUAUUUUGCUAUCCCAUUGUCCUUUCUGAACCUAUACACAAUCUCUUUAAAGAGAAAUGAAUUUCACUUUCGUGCUCCACAAUGAACAAAUUGCUAUCGAACUCAUGCAUUGCAUUUUGGUUCUAAUGGAUUGGGAAAAGGUUCAGGUGGGCUGCUGGCCCCCGUUGCUAACAAAUUUCUAUCAAGGAAACAAGAAGGAUGGUAAACGAUGUCACCGACCAGCUUGCUCAUACAAGGAAGUAACACUUUUCCAAUCAGCAUUCCAUCUUGUAAAACUCAAUUUGUUCCGCAAAAAAGAGUAUAUUCAUGAACAUAGGUGGCACAUUGGGGUAAAGCAGAAGUAAAAAAAAACAGGAAAAACAGCGUGUACAGUAUGUUGCAAUCAAUCACAAACAUGACGAAAAUAAAUUUUCAAUGAUAAGAUCUGACCAUAGUGAUAUAUUGUCAAGUAAGGAAAAUAAAAUUAAACUCUAAACUUAUUGGAAAACAACUCCAUUGUGAUUUUGUUAUUAUAGUUUGCUUGUGCAAACGGUGUGCAUCCAGGUAUCCAUUUUACCCUGUGCAAACAAUGAGAAUUGAGAUUGAACCUAGCUUUUGUGCAAGACAGGGUACUCUUGUUUAUCAUGUACUAUCUGAACGCCGCGUUGAGUGGCCCAAGCUAGAAGUCUGGCAGCAUAUCCUCACAAGCGAUGCAUUUACAUGGCCUUCAAGUUAUACUGUUAUGCAUUCACUUGUGCCUGUAAAGAUUUCAUCAAAAGCUAAUGCAAAUGCAAUACGAUCUAGUCAUCUAGGUGACUCUACUAAUAGGAUUUCCCACAAUAUGGAUCAAAUCAAAAUUGCCAUAUAUCGCCUUUUUCCUACAAAUUCGGUUUGCCACCAACAAAGCUCCACCAAACUACAUGAACCCAAGGGAAUUUUCUUAGUCCUUGGCUAGUUUGGAUGAUCAGGGAUGCAAAAUCCAGGGCACAGAAGCCACCAGGGGGAUUUAAGUGGCUAAUUAAAACCCUGUUGUUUUCCGUAGCAACAUUUCCCCCUCCCCGCGUUGUUUGGAAGUUUCCACUGGGCCUCCACUUGCCCUGUCCGUGCUAGAGAUGGCAAUAGGUACGUACCCGCUGGUAGUACUAUUCCAUACCCGCACCCUUGAACUCUACUUCUACCCAUUAAAAAACCCGUACCCGCAUGCAGGUAUAAGUUCUUAGGCCUGGUUUAGUUCGUUUGCUUAUUUUUAAGCACCCGUCACAUCGAAUGUUUAGAUACUAAUUAGGAGUAUUAAACGUAGAUUAUUUACAAAAUCCAUUACAUAAGUGGAGGUUAAACGGCGAGACGAAUCUAUUAAGCCUAAUUAGUCCAUGAUUUGACAAUGUGUUGCUACAGUAAACAUUUGCUAAUGAUGAAUUAAUUAGGCUUAAUAGGUUCAUCUCGCUGUUUAGCCUCCACUUAUGUAAUGAGUUUUCUAAAUAGCCUAAGUUUAAUACUCUUAAUUAGUAUCUAAACAUUGAUGUGACACUUGCUUAAAAAUAAGCAAAGGGAACCAAACGCCCCCUUAUCCAUACCUGCAUCCGUGCGGGUUUUUUACCCGUCAGGUAACCCGUACCCGAUAGCAUACCCACUAUAUACUAUCAGAAUAUAAACUAUCAGAAUAGUAAAUAUAACACAUGAGAAAGUGCAUACACCGAUAAAUUUGAGUAAAUAAAAAAGAUAAUUGACAAUUCUUAACCAAUUAAUAGUCUAAUAAAUCAUAAAAUUGUUACAGCGACAAAUUUGAGUAAAUAAAAAAGAUAAUUGACAAUUCUUAACCAAUUAAUAGUCUAAUAAAUCAUAAAAUUGUUAGUUAGUUACCAAUACUAAGUCACCCUUUACUAACAAUGUGCAAAUUUAUGAGUUUAUCACACAUUAUAGUCGGGUAUAUUUUACCCACAGGUAUGCAGGUAUGGGUAGUAUGUACUUGUACCCGCACCCGCUUACCCGAUGGGUAGAUGAUGUUACCCAUUAGUAUACCUGCGGGUAAAGAUAUGUUCCCAUACCCGCCUUCUUAUCGGGUAAAACCCAUCAGGUACUCGGGUUUCAUAUACCCAUUGCCAUCUCUGGUCCGUGCCACUAGGCCAUUGCCUUUGGAUAGCGCAAGUGCAACAGAAAAUUCAAGAAAAAUAAGGAAACUCAACGAAAAUUCAGGAAAAAUCAAUACACUGAGAAACUUAUUGCAACAAACUUAUGUCAAUAAAAAAAAGUAAAACUACAAUAAAAUAGAAACUUAUAUUGCACAAGUCCCAGGCUCUAUCAAUGGCCAUAGAUAGCUGGAAAAAAUGGCUUAUAGCUUAAUCCAUGGCUCAAUGUUGUAACACCUAAAAUUCCAUCAUGAAAAUAAUGUAAGCAACUCGGUCUAGUUUUUCGUGCUCUAAGGACUAAAUAAAUUACUUUAAUUAAAUUACGGUCUUUAAAUAAUUAAAGAGCACUUGAAAUAAUUUUAGAAGCAAUAAGUGCUUGGUAGAGUUUUUCUUUUCUCUUUUAUUUUGGCUUUUGUUUGAAUGCUUGCUUUGUAUUUCAAAAGAAUUUGAAUUGAAUUUUGAAAACUUCAACUCUAUUUAAAUUCUCAAAACCCUCCACCUCUUUUUCCUCUCCUUGGGCCAAAAUCCCUUCUCUCUCUUUCAGCCCACGAGCAUUUUUUUUUCCUUUCCCCCUCCCAACCGAAUGGGCCCAUUCCACCAGCCGGCCCAUUUUCUUUUCCCCCCUCCCUUUUCCCCCUGCGCAGGCCCAUCUCCCCUUCUUUUUCCUCUUGGGCCGCCACCUCCCCUCUCCUCCCCCCCCUCUUUUUCUUGCACCGGCCCAGCUUCCCUUUUCUCUUUGGGCUGCCACCUCCCUCUCCUUUCUUCCCCACAGACUGGCCCAAAUCAGCCCAGCCGGCCUGCUUCUUCCACCUCCAGCACCUGAAGCGCCAGGAGCCAGGCGCACGGGUGUCGUGCGCCCCCUAUGCGCCGCCGGCCGGGGCCCCCUCGCCUCCCAGUGUCCCUUGGCCUCCCGAGCCCCUCCACGACCUCGCGACGUCUCCCCUCCCCCACUCCCGGCCUCAAAUCGUCACCCCAUCUCCCGGGAGCCCCUUUCGCUCCUCCCCGGGGCCUAUAAAGGUCGCCAUCGACCUCGCCCGGAGUUCCUCUUUCCGUUUUCCUACCCACCCGCCACUCUCUCGCAUCGCCACGCCGCCGCCCGUACUAUCGCCGGUGAAGUUUCUGUUCUUCUCCGGUGAGAGCUCUCUCCUUCCUUUCCCUCCCUCUCUCCCUCCUCUCCCCCACCGAAGCGCUGCCGCCCGCGCGCCGGCGAGGCCUCCGCCCACGCCGGCGAGACCCUCCCCGUUGGCCAUGCUUCUAUGUGCUUGGUUGCCUGUUGGAGAAAGAAGAUGGAGUUUUUGCGAUCUAGUCCCUAAACUCUCUGUUAUUCCUUUUACUUAAUUCUUGUGUCUUGUAAUUUUUUUCAAAGAAGUCCCUGAAGCUCCUGUAUUCUUUUUAUUUUAACCUGAGCCAUGCCAUUUUGUAGAUCUAACCCUAUGUUUCUCUGUUUUCGCAUGUACUGUUCAGUAUAUCUUUCUAAAAUUCCUUGCUAGCCCCUGAAGUAUAUAGUUUAUUCUGUUUUUAGCCCCUGAAACUUGUUUAUCUCAUAUCUUCUUCGUUUUAAAUCCGAUUUCAGCGAUUCUCGCGCUCACGCGAUCGUCUCUGCAUGACGUUAGAUUUAGGAGUUUGUUGUAAGCCUUUGCAUAUGUUUGUUGUACUAUUUUAAUCAUUCUUUGUUUAUUUGCCUUGUGUGAUCGUGCAGACAACGUGACAUUCGCGGAGGAGCAAGUCCAAGACCAGCCACCGUUCGAAGAAAAGUACUCCCAGUUUGCCGAGGAAGGCAAGUGGCCUUCUCCCCCUGCAUGUUCUUUUUGUCCCAAUAAUAUCAUGAUUAAACACUUUACUUAUUUCUUGUAUGUGCAUAAAUUUGAUGGGAAUGCCUAUUAAGGACUUACCUAGUUUUAAUCCUUAUUCCUUGAAAACCUGUUUAAUCAUGUUGGGUAGACUUGCUAGUCGCUUAAAUUGAGUUGGUCAUGUGCUAAUUAUGAAAUAUGUUAAUCAUGCUUUAUUUAUGUUGCUAUAUAUGUUUGAUUACAAGAACACUUGUUUUAAUCGGAACAUGGAGAACCACCCAAGAAAACAGUACAACCACAACAUCAUAUGGCUCUGAUCUUAGCCGAAUAAUUAGGCAUGUAGUUAGCUGGUGGCUUUACCGAAAGGGCAAGGAGGGGGAAGGUGUUGGGUGCACGAUCCGGAGCAGUAGCCUUCACUAAGGUGCUGUCUCAUUAACGGGUUUUGGUCUGCAUCGCUACUGAAACUCUAGCGGGCUACCAGUUGUCUGCGUGUCUUUGUAAAGGCUUCGUAGUGGACCCCCAACCACUCACCAAAGGAAGUGUUUAAGGACUUUGCAAACCCGGGCGACACGGGGGACCACGAGUUGUGGGUAAAGUGUACAACCUCUUCAAAGUGAAAACUGAUAUAUCAGCUGUGCUCACGGUUAAGAGCGGCUUGGACCCUCACAUGAUAAUUGAACUUAAAGAUGAGAUUAAUCUGUGUUACCUUUACCUUUGGGUUAUGUUAAUGUUAUAUGCUUAAUUGGGUUGAUAUAAACUUACAUCUAGUAAUUAGGUGCUGCUAAUAAAAAUUUGACCAAUUAAAACACUAACCGCUUAAAGCCUUGAGCCAUUCCUUGUGAGCCUUGCAUGUUUCCCCACCUGUGAGUACCAACAAUAAGUGUACUCACCCUUGCCCAAACGCUGUUCAGAAGCUUGUGACGACGGGGAGUUCUUCGACGACUUCGAGGAGUUCUAGGCAGGCAGUCCACCAGUCAAGCCUGUGGAGAAGCUACGCUAUGUGUGUGUGCGUGUUAAGUUAUCGGUGAACGAUUAAAAACCUUCGUGUCUAUCACGCUGAGUGUAAUAAAGUUCCUACUAGUUUAUGUACAUUUUUUAGCACUGUCUUUGAUGUAUUCACUGAUGACAUCAACAUAUGUGUGAGAACGGAUCUUGGCACACAUAUGCGAUGCAUUCGGUUUUAUCCAGAAAUCGAGUGUGACAAAUGUGAACGAUCAGGCCAAAGAGAUGGUUGCUGUAGGGGAAAAAUUGGUUUUCCAAGACUGCAUAAUAAUCCAUUGGACUAAUCCUUUUGAAGCAAUAAUGGCUCAGAGACCUGCAUUUAAGAUCAACAACAACAACAACAACAACAACAUAGGAUUUAAGAUCAAUGAAAUAAAAAUAACUUAGUCCAGGAAUGUAUAAUGUUUUUUUGAAACUUGAAUGUAUAAUGUAACUAAAGAGAAAACACUUCAGCAAGGGAAAUAUACAAAAUUAAAAUUUUCAGAUAUAGACUGCUUAGUCCUAUAAACUAAGCUUGCCAAGGAUUUCAGCUGAACAAAAACUUUGGACCUAGUUUACUGAAUUCAGGACUUGCAUCCACAAGCACUACCAUGUAACAAUUGCCAAAGCUUAUAAUGUACUGUCCUCACAAGAAAAAUAUCUGGCAAUAGAAACAGUUAUGAUACCUAAUUGGAGAACAAUGAGUUGAGUACUAUGACAGGGAGCUUUUCUUCACUGAUCACACUUGUAUAUAGCGCCUUCCAAACAGAUGCUAGCUUUUUUUUUAUUGCCAAAGCUUUCUUCAUUAAUCAGUACUACUGCCAGCUUUUUUUAAUUAAAACCAAAUGAAAGUUAGUUCCAACCUCUGCACAGGUGUCUCAUGCAGUCAGGCACACAUGCUGCUAGAACAAUUCUUAAGUUACUAAGCUCAAAAUAUGACCUAAAACUAGCAUACGGACCCAAAAGCUACUAUGUGUUGACCAAAAAAAUGAGUGAAAUAAAGACCUUGAAAGCCACAAAUAACUAAAAAGCUAACAAUUUUAUCUCAGGAAAUAUGAGCUAGAACUGGCAUAAUUGUCCAAGAGUCCUACAGCAAUUCUCUAAAACCAUAGCACAUAUUGGCAGACGGCCAAGAGUCCAUGAGCCCAUAUUCGCAAACGACCAAGAGUCCAUGAGCAGUAAAUUAAUGAAGCCAAGUAGUUCAUGUCACUCAAAUGCAGGUGAUUCAUUAAGGAUAUUUUAGCUAGUACUUGACAGGAUCAGACAUAACCAAGGCAUACUAUAAUGAAUGCUCGUUAUCAAAGCUGUCAGCUGACUGAGAACAAACUCAGGUAUGCAUAGCAUAGAGAACACAUAUGUACAAGCAGGAAACAAAGGGCUUGUGCAGUUCAGUGCAGCACGGUGAAAUUCUGUCAAAAAAAUCAGUAGUUAAAGGAGGAAGGGCUACACAUAGUGCCAAUCAGUGUGCAAUACCUGCAGUUUGGCAUCUUUUCUUGUGGUGAAACCAUCAAAUUCAGAAUUACUGUCAGCAGUGGCUUUGUUCUCCCCCUUGGUUUUUGCCACACAAGUGAUUCUCAAAUCGCAACAGUAUCUUCAAUCCUUCCUAUAUUUACACAGAAACAUAAGAUUUCAUGCUGAUAAACGUAAUCAUCAAAUAUUCUCAUUUAUAGCAAGACUUGGACUGAGCACAUUCAGCAUGUUCGGGCUGUGCUGGUAGUUCUGCGUGCUAAUGCUCUUUUCCUCAAGAAGUCCAAGUGUGUUUUUGGUGAAGGAAGUGUGGCAUACUUGGGUCAUGUUAUUGGUGCUGAUGGUGUGGCAAUGGACCUGUCUAAGAUAGAGGCAGUACAGGCAUGGCCACUGCCUAAGACUCUUCGGGCGCUUCGGGGGUUUCUUGGCCUCACGGGCUAUUAUAGGAAGUUCAUUGCCAACUAUGGUGUCAUUGCUGCUCCUCUCACUGCCUUGAUGAGGAAGGACGCUUUCCGCUGGUCUCAGGACGCUACAGAUGCGUUCAAUGCCCUCAAGAACGCACUCACCACCGCUCCUGUUCUGCAGCUGCCCGAUUUUGCACAGGAGUUUGUUGUGGACUGUGACGCCUCAGGGACUGGUUUUGGUGCUGUACUUCAUCAAAACGCCGGCCCCAUUGCAUUUUUCAGCAGGACAGUGGCACCGCAGCAUCGUAAGUUGGCGGCCUAUGAGAGAGAACUGAUUGGGCUUGUUCAAGCUGUUAGACAUUGGUGGCCCUAUCUCUGGACUCGGUCUUUUACGGUUCGGACGGAUCAUUUCAGCCUCAAGUAUUUAUUGGAUCAGCGCCUGUCUACCAUUCCGCAACAUACUUGGGUCAGUAAGCUUUUUGGCUAUGUGUUUACAGUGGAGUACCGCCCUGGCAAGCAAAAUCGUGCAGCAGAUGCGCUAUCUCAUCGCGAUGAGGACACAGUGGAAUUACUGGCCCUGUCCAUGUCACGGCCUGAGUUUGAGCUCUUCAAUGACUUCAAGAAGGAAGCUAACACCUUGCCGGAAAUCAUUGCCAAACGCAAGGAAAUCGAUGAAGGUACUGCCGGUGCUGCCUGGACUAUGGUGGACGGAUUUGUUAUGUACAAUGGCCGCAUAUUUGUACCUUCUUCCUCUGGUUUAUGGCCAUAGAUUUUGGAAACAGGACAUGAGGGAGCUCAGAAAACUUUGCAGCGUCUAUGAGCAUCAUUCUACACACCGGGUGCAGCAAAGCUUGUCCGCCAAUUUGUACAAGGUUGUUUGGUCUGUCAGUGCAACAAAACGGAGCACCUCCACCUAGCUGGUUUCCUGCAACCCCUAGAUGUUCCAACAGCCAUCUGGAGUGACAUUGCAAUGGACUUUGUGGAAGGUUUUCCUCGGGUUGGUGGCAAAUCUGUGGUUCUUACAGUUGUCGACCGUUUCUCCAAGAUGGUGCAUUUCAUUCCUUUAGGCCAUCCUUAUACAGCCUUAACUGUGGCUCAGGCUUUCUUUGAUGGCAUUGUCCGUUUACAUGGGCUACCCUGCUCUAUUGUGAGCGAUCGUGAUCCAGUUUUUACCAGCUCCUUGUGGACCGAGCUCUUUUCCCUUGCUGGUGUUAAGUUGCGCCUCAGUUCUGCCUUUCAACCUCAAACAGAUGGACAAUCAGAGGUAACCAACAGAAUUCUAGGCGUCUAUCUGCGUUGUUUGGCUGGGGAUCGUCCACGCAAUUGGCUUAAAUGGUUACCUUCGGCUGAGCACUGCUACAAUACCUCUUUUCAGACUUCUCUACAUACGACACCGUUUCGUGUCGUCUAUGGUCGUGAUCCUCCCACUCUUUUGUCAUAUGAACCAGGUGUGGCUCGUAUGGUGGCCAUAGACAAACAGCUCCAACAACGAGAUGAAUUCUUGUCUGAGAUCCGGGAUCGUCUUUUACAAGCUCAGGAUUACAUGAAGAGAUCUUAUGACAAGACCCAUCGGGAUGUGGAGUUUCAGGUUGGGGAUUGGGCUUGGCUGCGACUCAACCAACGAUCAGCAGUGGGCAUUACUUCUGGGGCUAAUACAAAACUGGCGCCACGCUACUAUGGUCCAUUCCAGGUGAUUGAACGCAUUGGCUCCGUGGCAUAUCGGCUGCUGCUGCCUCUAAGUCCAGAAUUCAUGAUGUCUUCCAUGUGGUGUUCCUUAAGAAGCAUCAUGGGGCACUUCCUGAUGCAACUGUACCCCUACCGGUGGUAUCCCAUGGUCGUGCUGUACCAACUCCUGCUGCUGUUCUGCGUGCUUUACCAAAGGAAUCUCGCGGUGAGUGACGAACGGGAUCUGAAAAUCCAAAAUUUUUCCCCUGUUUCCGCUCCACUGGCGGCCCCUCCGGCGAUUCCCUACGACGGCGAGGUCCAUCUCGUCGAGGACAAGCUCCUCGCGGCGCUCGAUGACGGCGGUGAUUGGGACCUGAAGCGCUGGGUCCUAAACACCGGCGCAUCCAACCAUAUGACGGGCGUGCGCGCGGCAUUCUCCAACCUUGACGCCGGCGUCACCGGCACCGUCUGCUUCGGGGAUGGAUCCGUCACCAACAUCGAAGGGAUCGGCACCAUCCUACUCGCCUGCAAGAACGGCGAGCAUCGACCCCUCGCCAACGUCUACUACCUCCCUCGACUCACCGCCAACAUCGUCUCCGUCGGGCAGCUCAACGUGAACGGCUACCAGGUACUUAUCGAGGAUGGUGCGAUGCGGGUGCGGGAUGAAGAACGGAGGCUGCUCGCCAAGAUCCAUCGAAGUCCAGGCCGGCUCUACGUGCUCGAUAUCGACAUCGCACGGCCGGUCUGCCUCGCCGCACGCGGAGAAGAAGAGGCGUGGGUGUGGCAUGCCAGAUUCGGCCACAUCCACUUCGCCGCCCUGCGCAGGAUGGCAAGGGACAGCCUUGUUCGUGGGCUGCCACAGCUGACUCAGGUGGAGCAGCUCUGCGACGCCUGCCUCGCCGGCAAGCAUCGAAGGGCGUCGUUCCCACAGCGCGCACUGGGACGAUCUACGGAGGUGCUGCAGCUACUCCACGGCGACAUCUGUGGCCCUAUCUCGCCCCCAACACCGAGUGGCAAUCGGUAUUUCCUCCUGCUUGUCGACGAUUUCUUGCGUAUGUGGCUCUGCCUCCUACCCAGCAAGGACGCCACUGCAACGGCGAUCAAGCGUGUCCAGGCUGCCGCCGAGCGGAAGAGUGGCAGGAAGCUACUGGUGCUACGCACCGAUCGCGGCGGUGAGUUCGCUGCCAAGGACUUCGUCGAGUACUGCGCCGAGCUCGGUGUUCACCGUCAACUCACGGCGCCUUACACGCCUCAGCAAAAUGGGGUCGUGGAGCGGCGGAACCAGACCGUGGUCGGCACGGCGCGCAGCAUGCUCAAGGCAAAGCACCUCCCCGGCGAGUUCUGGGGCGAGGCGGUCACCACUGCUGUGUACCUGCUCAACCGCUCAUCGUCGAAGAGCAUCGGAGGCGAGAUCCCGUACAAGCUCUGGACCGGCAACGCCCCGAACGUUCAACACCUGCGCACGUUCGGGUGUGUCGCGAACAUGAAGGUGACCACGCCGCACCUGAAGAAAUUAGAUGACCGGAGCAGGCGCAUCAUCUUUGUCGGCUACGAGCCCGGGUCCAAGGCCUAUCGCCUGUACGAUCCGGAGGCGCGACGCGUCCACAUCAGCCGCGACGUUGUGUUCCAGGAACAGGAGGAGUGGCGCUGGGGCGAGGAGCAGCGCACCGCGGCCAACGACUUCACCGUCGAACACAUGGAGCCACCUACCGUCACCACCACUACGACGGCGAUAAGCAUGCGUGAAGCCUCCGCCAGUACACCGCCAGCGUCAUCGAGCCGAUCUUCGGUACCGCCACAUCAACAAUGUGCUCGGCCCGGCCACGCCGCCGGGGCUCGCAGCGCGUGAGCUGGAGGAGCAGCUGAUGUUCACCAGCGAAGCUGAACCCACAUCAUUCAGGGAGGCGAUGGAGCAUGAGAACUGGUGACUAGCAAUGCUCGAUGAGUUCACUUCAAUUGAGGACAACAACACCUGGGUACUCACUGAUCCACCAGCAGGAGUGAAACCAAUUGGGGUCAAGUGGGUGUACAAAACAAAGCGUGAUGAAUCCGGGAUCGUCACCAAGUACAAGGCCAGGCUCGUCGCAAAGGGGUAUGUACAACGACAUGGUAUUGAUUUCGAUGAAGUGUUUGCACCUGUUGCUCGACUUGAGUCAGUUCGACUUCUACUGGCACAUGCUGCUGGUGAGGGCUGGGCAGUACAUCACAUGGAUGUGAAGUCUGCAUUUCUGAAUGGCAAGUUGCUGGAGGAUGUUUAUGUUGAGCAGCCACCAGGAUUUGUGGUGAAGAGGCAGGAACACAAGGUACUGCAUCUAGUGAAGGCACUCUAUGGACUUCGACAAGCACCACGGGCAUGGUAUUCCAAGUUAGAUGAGUCACUCCUCAAGCUUGGGUUCUGCAGAAGCAAGUCUGAACAUGCAGUUUACAUGCGUGGCAUUGGAGCAAGGCGUCUCAUUGUGGGUGUGUAUGUAGAUGAUCUUGUGAUCACAGGAGCUGAUGAGUCUGACAUCGACAAGUUCAAGUCAGAGAUGAAGCACACCUUUCAAAUGAGUGAUUUGGGUCUGCUCAAGUAUUACCUCGGGUUGGAGGUACACCAAGGUGAGGAAGGGAUCACUGUGUGCCAAAGAGCCUAUGCUGCAAAGAUCCUAGAGAGUGCAGGACUAACAGGAUGCAACAUCAGUCACACACCAAUGGAGCCAAGGCUAAAAUUGAGCAAGGAUAGCACUGCACUAGCUGUUGAUGCAACUCAAUACAGGUCAAUUGUUGGCUCACUCAGAUACCUAGUGAAUUCAAGGCCAGAUAUAGCCUAUUCAGUUGGUUUUGUCAGUAGAUUCAUGGAGAGCCCCACAACUGAACAUCUACUGACAGUAAAGAGAGUGUUGCGCUAUGUAGCUGGCACACUCCAUUUUGGCUGCCAUUACAUAAGGGAGAAGGGGACAGAGCUGGAGGGAUAUAGUGAUAGUGAUCUAGCAGGAGACAUUGACACUAGAAAGAGCACUUCCGGCAUCUUAUUCUUCCUUGGCAAGAACCUGAUCACCUGGCAAUCUCAGAAACAAAAGGUAGUUGCUCUUUCUUCAUGUGAAGCUGAGUAUAUGGCUGCAACUACUGCUGUUUGUCAGGGAAUUUGGUUGGCACGUCUGCUGGCUGAACUGAGAGGCAGCAGACCCAGUGUUUUCAAACUCAAGAUCGACAGUCAGUCAGCCCUCCAGUUGAGUAAGAAUCCUGUUUUCCAUGAUCGUAGUAAGCACAUUGAUACAAGAUUUCACUCUAUCCGUGAUUGCAUCGAGGAGAAGAGGGUUGACAUUGAUUUGGUGGGGACAAAGCAUCAGUUGGCUGACAUUUUAACCAAAGCCUUAGGACGGGAGCAGUUCUGUGAACUUCGUUCAAGGAUUGGUGUAGUCAAUGUUCAGAGUAUGCGCAAGGCUUAGGAGGAGAUCUGUUAGUAAUCCUAGCGCAUGACUCGGUUAGUUAGUUAGCUCUGCAUGUUUCCUUUGCUGCAUUGCAUACGCACGAGCACCAAGCUGUGGCUGCCGUGCGCGUAGAAAAGAGUGGCGAGAAUAGCUCGUGCACGAACCGAGGAUGACCGGUGAUUCAGCGGCAUCGUGGGCACGGGGAUGGACGUGCUCGCUGCGCGGUGUGCGACUGGCCACCGAGUGGACCUGUUCGCGGUAUUCGCAGAAUAAAAGGAAGAACGCUCGGAAAAGCUGUAGUCAGAAGUGCAGCACCAAAAUCUUCGAGUUUCCAAGUGCUCUUGUGUUUGUGUGCGUUCUGUGUCCUCAAGCAAUAGUCAUCGCGAGCUCGCCGGGCGUCAAGCACACCGGUUCGAAGCUAACAGACGCAUCACGGCCACGACGCCAUUGGCAGUAGGUUUAUCUGGGUUUAUAUAAGUUCUAUGCUGUCAUGGAAUCCUGAUGCAUGCACUCCAAUGCAUGUCUAAUGCUUUCGUUCUCUAUGCAUGCAUGCACGCGUGCAGAGUCGUUGACGGCGACAGAAACUGCAUCGUCGUCGUCACCGAGAGAUCCGGCAGCCGAUGAGCUGGGAAUAAUGCCCAGCAACUUCACGUCGUCACCCAGGGAAUCCUCACCCAGGGGAGCGGCACACGCACACCCGCGCCAGGAAAAGAACCACGUCGUGCGCCAAAAAUUGCAUUUGCGAGCACGGGGGUCCAAACCCUGCCAAACCGCGUGGGUCACCUCACCCCGGGAACUUGGCCCGCGUCUCGCUCUCCCUUCCGUCGCUCCGCUCCCGAACAAGACGGCGCCUCUCCCUCGCGGUGCUGCGGCGGCGAGUGCGACGAGAUCCAGGUGUGCGCCUCGCCACCUCCUCCAGCUCCCCUUCCCUAGCUAUCUCCACCUCAUCCCCUUCUCCUACUCAUCCUCGUUUUUCCAGCCUUGUUGAGUCAGUCCAGGUCCCCGGCCGCCUCCUUCUACUCUCUCCGACCAAGAGAAGGCGCGACGAGGACGAGGACACAGGGGACGACCACAUCCUGGAGCCAGCCAACAUAAGCUUCACUCGUGCCUUCUGCUCCAACUAUUCUCGGUGAGUAACCCCCUCUCUCUUUCUCUAACAAUCUCGAAUCUGGUGUGAUUUCUUCUUGGAUCUGUGUUACUCGUCUAUUACCUGAACAUGUGUGCAUGCUCGUUUAGGCUUAGUUCUCAGGCAUAUGGCUGCUACUGCUAUAAUAUCCAUUACUUAGCUCUCAGGUUCUGCUAUCUGAAAUAUAAAGUUGAAAACAUACCUCAUUACAGGACAUGUCAAGGCAAGUUUGUCAGUUAUUUUAUAAAACUCGAACAAUUCUAGGAUAGUUCUUGCUUCUAUCCAGUGAACUUGGAAAUCUAUACAGUGUCAGCGUUCAUGAAUUCAGUAUGCACUUGUCCUCAGUGCUCCAAGAUAAUGUGGGAUUCUUGCAUCUUCAUGGGCAUUUAUUAAUCAAGGUUAUAGAUUGUGCAAUACUCCAGCUCUACAGUUGUUUUCGUUAACUGCUCUCCUGAAAUGAACUUUAUGUAUAACUCAUCAAUUUGCUAGUCACAUACUACUGAAAGUCUCCACAAUAUGAAACUUGUUAUCCGGGAGACAUAACUAUAAAAACUUAUGCCGGCAGAAAUGGUACAUGCUGGUAUAUUUGGAAUUGCUGAAAUCCCUCAGACAACUACUGAUGUCCACCAAAAGAUAACUAUCUUAGCUUGUGUCAGUCGAACGUCUGGUUAGCUCGAUCAACAUGAAUUCAUUCUCACAGUUUUCUUAAGGUCUUAGAUGCUGUCAUGCCAAAAAACGGAGCUCUGAGCAACAAGAUGACUUGAUGUCAAUAAAAGCCUAAGAGCUAUUAUGAUAACAUGUCCAUCUAAAAUUUCCACCAGCUGCAUCUUUCAAAAUACGAGGCUUUUUAGGAAUUGAGCUCUUCAUCUCGAAUUUGAUAACAUAUCACAUCCAUGCAACUGCGAUAUGUCCCUAAAUACUAUCAUCAUCUGUUUAAUAUGGCUGAUGAAAAAAGUGGUAUACCAAUUGCUCUUUACUUUCUGUCCAAGGUUGCUUUGAUUCUUUUGUUGGAUAGUUUCUUGUUCAGUCAGGGUUUCAGCUCUUGCACUAAGACUGCUGUCAUUGACUGCUGUCAUUGACUGGAGAUGUUUCACGGUAUUUGUUUCCAUAGCCAUUUUGAUCACAUAAAGGCAGCAAGAAGGAAUUGUCUUCCCCACUCGCCUAUGCUUUCUUUCAUAUAUCUGUAAGAUUUAAUUCUGAUUUCAUGCUGUCAUAUAUUACUUAUUGUGUUGCAAACCCGAUAGCCAUCUUUCCAUUCUUUUCUCCUGCUUCAUACUAUUGAACAAAACUUUCUCCACUGAUGCUUUCCUUUUGUUUGUGUUCUUAAUUACUUUCACCAUCUGGCUGUUUUGCUUGCAUUUGUAGGUAGUCUAGUUUUCAUUUCAUUAAAGCUUGUUUGCAGCUUCUUUUCAUAACACACAAUUUGUUCAUUUGUUAGAUGGCUGCAGGCAUCUAGGAUUUGAGGGUUGAAGAUGGCAAAUGACUACUCUCCAUGAGGAAGUUCGUUCUUUUUUUUUAAUAUAUGGACCUGUCUGCACAAUAGCAUGUAGUAUUGUUGAUUUCAAGAUCCAAGACGAUGAUUUUUGUAUUUGUAAUGAGCAAAUUAAACUAUUUUGCAAUUGUAUGCAUUAUGUGCAUAAAUAGUACGUCUUGGGAAAUUCGCUAUCAGGUUUAGACCAUGCAUAGCUCUCUCCUCUCUUCUUAGGCAUUCACAUUAGGAUUACAUAUGGACAUGCACGUGUGAGUUUUCUUGAGCAUUUGCACUCAAUCUCCAGGGCUUUUAGUGUAGAGCAGCAGACUACAGUGCUUCGCAGUUCAUACUAUACUACUAAACCUGGCCAACAUCAAUUGCAGUUGACUGGCUUGAGUUGUGUUAUGUUGCCACUUGCCUACUUCACUUGUAUGCAAGUGACUCGCUUCAGGUGCAAGUGACUCGCUUCAGGUGCAACAAAACGAGGAGAGGUCGAAUUUAGCUCUAAUGAGGUAUUUAUAAUUCGACACAAAUUCUUAUCACCCUACUACAAGAUACACUUCGUUCAGUCAUUUAAACCUAUAUAAGUCUAAGAGGGUGUUUGGUUCUUUAGUUCGGAUUAAAAUUUAUAUCACAUCGAUAUGUUGCCACUUGCCUACUUCACUUGUAUGCAAGUGACUCGCUUCAGCCACAACAAAAAGAGGAGGUCCAAUUUAGCUCUAAUGAGGUAUUUAUAAUUCGGCACAAAUUCUUAUCACCCUACUACAAGAUACACUUCGUUCAGUCAUUUAAACCUAUAUAAGUCUAGGGGGUGUUUGGUUCUUUAGUUCGGAUUAAAAUUUAUAUCACAUCGAAUAUUCGGACGUUAAUUAGGAGGGCUAAACAUGAGUUAAUUAUAAAACUAAUUACAUAGAUGGAGGCUAAUUCAUUAAGCCUAAUUAAUCCAUCAUUAGCACAUGUUUAUUGUAGCACCAUAUUGCCAAAUCAUGGACUAAUUAGGCUUAAUAGCUUCAUCUCGCAAAUUAGUCUCCAUCUAUACAAUUGGUUUUGUAAUUAGUCUAUGUUUAAUACUCCUAACUAAACAUGUGAGCCUCAUGUUCAUUGAUUCCUCAUUGAAAUCUGUUGUAACUUAUAAUUGUGAUUUUAGACGAGUACUAUAGACAACAAUUAAAAACAUGUUUCUGCAACAAAAACAAGCUCCUUGCAACAAACAUGUACUUUCAAUGUACUCAUAAUGAUGUUUGAGUCAUUAGUGCUCAUAAAAGACAAUGUCGUUUCAUUGAGAAAGGUACCAAGUAACCAUUAAAAACGAAGCAGAAGUACACUCUUUCAGUGCAUUUCACUAUGGAUCUGCAUUUCACUAUGGAUCCUGAUCAUUUAAUUUCUGUUUAUGUCUUCAAAUCUAACAUUUAUAUGUCUCUACUAUUAGAAACCAAAAUCACUCUUUGUAUUAGAGUGCGCAGCAGAAUCCGGUCCGGCCCGUUAUACCCACAGACGGCGUCCCACUAGGUCCAAGUCCACCAGAGCCUGCAAUAACGAAGACUUGCGCCUAACUCAACUCAAAAGACGAUGGACGAGGACUGCCCCCAUCAAUAUGCUGUGCUCCCCCACCAUCAAUUUCUGAUGUAGGACUAAAUCUAACAAUUCGAAGUACAGGCACCUUUGUGCCUUUCAGUUUCCCAUACGCACGGGCAGAUGGAAGAACGAAGAAUAGCAGACAUUGCUACAGCCGCGAGUGGAGGUAAACCGGCUCAAACGGCGUUCACCACAUUUGCACCAUGGUUCCCUAGCACAGGACCGCGACCAGAAGAAGGCCACUCGACAUAAGCAGAGGAGGAAGAACAGAGGUGGAAGGCAGCAAGGAAGUUAUAGCUUGACCCUUUUCCUUAAUCCUUACCGUAGGGGACGACACGGCCUUGCCUGUUGCAGCCUGACACCGCGCCACGGCGCCCGCCACGUUCGCCCAGCGGGUCCGCCACCUCGUGCUUGCGACCGCCAGUCGACUGCCCACGCUGCACAUGCCGGUUCCGCCGAUCCCAUGCCAGCGGAUGUCGUGGACGUGCUUACACCAAAGCGGUGGUCGCAAAAGGCAGCGCAUCCGAGGCUUAGGCCACUCGUGGUCGUGGAUCUCUCCUUGCCUCUUCCGGGACACAGAGGAGGCAGGCGCGCAGGCAGCGGGUGGCAAGUCCGUUCGGUGGGAAGCCGAUCGAGGAUGCUAAUACUCAUCUCAACACUUUCUUAGCCUUUGUGACACCAUCACAAUGCACGGAGUCACCGGAGAUGCCAUCAGGCUCUGCAUGUUAUUAAGAGAUGGCCCCGCCAUCUACUGAAAUACCCCAAUGAUUACAAAGAAAACAACUGUUGUCUUAAGCUCUCCUGUCCCUGAUGCAAGCCAAGAUAAGUUUCGAAUGUUCGGUACAAUAUCCUUGGUGUUCUGCUAAUUGUGGUUAGCCCUUUUCUUUCUUUUACCAAAAAGGCUUGCUGUGGAUUUCAUUUUCAUAUCAUAAUUAUAAAACAGGUUGAGUUUAAAACGAAAAAAAUGUGGAAUCUGAUUAUCUGGGCAGCACCCAAACGAAUGGCGCAGCCAGCAGCGAGGCGGAAAAAGGAAGGCGUGUUUGAUGUGCUAUACAUGACAACAGAAAAGGCCAUUUCACUUCCUUCAAGGCGAAAACUUUGAACUGACGGCUUGAGAGGAAUAUACUAUUUCUAGCGCUAAAUCUGAUGCAAUUUCAUAACCGAUCUUAAGCAAUCUACAAACAAAGCAGGAUGAUUUGAGCACUGAACAGUCAGAUGUUCAAAAUGAAAUCAAUGAACAAUAUAAGCUGCUCUGGAAACAUACAAAACCACGACUGAUAUUCAACAAAACAUCAUUAUACUGUAGCCAUGAUUUUACUUAGAAGACAUACAUGAACUGCUUGGAUGUGCUUGUAAGUUUUAGUGCAAUCCUUUCGAGUCUAAAGCUAUUUCAACUGACUGUUUUCAUGGCCAACCACCUGCACUCGUUCUGAGAACACAAAUUCAGAUUCAGAAUGAAACGCGUGUAAUGGUAGAUCAAACAAGAUGUUGGAACAUCACCUGGUAAAAGAAAUUGAUUAAAAUCAUAACAAGGUUGAGGCAUUUCUAUACUAGAGUCAAGCGUGUAUUGAAGCACCUCCCUGCAUACUUAAUAGGCUUGCUGUAUAAACUGUGGUUACCCUACAAAAAAUUGUAAAAACCGAUGCAUGGAUUCCAUAUUGUUGUCAAGGACUCUACACAUGAAAGCAGGAUUCACACAAUCACAGUUGAUAUUACACAUUAAGCUAAAACAUAGAAAAGCAACACAGAAACACCCGAGUGAAAAGGGUUUGUAGAAUCACCAGUUAUGAUUACACAUUAAUUUCAAACAUAGAAAAGCACACAUUAACACCUUAGUGAAUGCAUAGCAAGGGGUCCUCAUUAUAGAAGUUUGGGAGUACAGUAAAUUAAAUAAAACACAGAAAAGAAACAUUCACCUUAUUGAAAACAUAGAAACUCAUCAUCAUGACAUGAUUUU